AUAUAUAUAAACUCUCAUAAUCUGUUCAACAUAUCAAUGAAGGUGUCUUCGUUGCAUGGAAUUGUGAGGCCGCCUUCUGGAUGACUAAACCCAAAUUCUUCCUCUGCUUGACUUAACAGGUCUUGGAAAGUAGGCUCGUUUAAGUAAGAGAUCGGAACUACAAAUCUUCUUCUUUGGUCCUCCCCGACAUAAACUGCCAUGCAUCCCUUCGGGACAUUUGUACUACGAUCAAGAUUUGUUGAGGAGAAUUGGCGGUUGAGAAUUUGCUUGAGACUAGUGAUACGAGGAACAUGAAUACCCAUGAUGCUAAAAUCAAAAAUUUGUAGUAUUCAGGAUAAACUCUGCUGAUAUUGAAAUACAAGGACUUGUGCAGAUGGAAGGCUUAGACACUUGAAUACAAUUGAUUAUGUGAUGAAUUUGGUUGAGUUUAUAAUAGCUAUUUUAUAGAGCACAUAGGAAGUAGUAUCGAACGAUUGAACAUUUGAUUGAGUGGCGCAGAUGAAUUAGGCAUUAGCACAUGCUAUUCUCUCUCAAUGGCCACAUAUGUUUAAGAUUUAUGGUAGGACUUAAAUGUCUGUUAAGAAACAUCAUGUCCUACUACUUUUGUUCUACAAAUCUGAACCUGAUAUCUUCUCAUCUAAAUAUGUGUUAUGUGAACGCCAUACAAAUAAUUUGGCUUGAAACUCUUGAGUUUUAGUUAGGUGCUCAUGUGAUAGUGUUUUCAUUCACCCAUCCUAGCUGUUAUUUUGUUGCAUUGAUGAAUCAUUUAGUAGAAAACAGUAGCUGCUGGGGCUUAAUCAAGCAGACUCCGUAGGGCUUGAUGUCUCGCAACACACAUAAAUCAAAUCUUCUUGGUCAUAUAUACUUGUAGCUAUUAGAACAGAAUAUCAUGUGCAAGUGUCUAUUGCUUCUUCGCCCCACGGAUAAUAUUUUGGAUAAAUUGUUUGAGAAGUUCUAUCAUCUAUGUUCUAUAUAUACAUAUAUUUAAGCAUUAGUAGAAUUCAUCACAAACUCAAUUGCUUCAAGCCUUAAACUUACAUUUCCUUGCGUUUCUGGUGUAUCGCCCAACUCUUCACUAAAAUAUCUAUAGCAGAAUGGGUAUUCGCGUGCCUCGCAUUGCUAAUCUCAAACAAAUCCUCAACCGGUCAUCUUUCCUGAUAAAUCCUGAUCUUACUUCAACGAUUCCAAAGGGGUGCUUGGCAGUUUAUAUUGGGGAGAGCCAAAGAAGCCGAUUUGUUGUUCCUGUUUCAUACCUGAAUGAGCCGGACUUUCAAGAAUUGUUAAGUCAAGCUGAGGAAGAAUUUGGAUUCAAUCAUCCGGAAGGAGGUCUUACAAUUCCAUGCUCAGUGGACACAUUCAAUGAAAUCACUUCGCGCCUGAACAGAUUAUAACGGAAACCAAUUCAUAUACAUGUAGAUAGUAUUCCGAUCUCAUUUGAUGAGCUUCUGAGUGUAAAUUGUAGAAUAGGAUUAGUUUAUAACUAUUAUGUAGGCAACGUCUAAUUUGAUCCCCCAUUUUUGUUGAUAUUUCUACCAUUUCUUAUAACAAGUUUACGUUGAGCAGUAAAAAAUUCCAAUUAUCAUACCUGAAUGAGGCUGCCUUCCAAGACUUGUCAAGUUAAGCCCAAGAAGAACAUGUGUUGAAUCAUUCAAAAGGUGCCUUCAUAAUUCUCGACACCUUCAUUAACCUCACUUUGAAAAAAAUUAAAUUGUUAAAUAGUAAAGCAUCUCCAAACAUGUAAACUUAAAUGUAUCUGGAGUCGUUAUUAUUAGACGUGUGGCUUUACAUAGUGGUUUUAUGUGUUUGUCAGCUCCGGAGCAUUAAGAACUCCCGCGAAAGAAAAAGGGAAAAUUAUCAAGUUGAUCACUCGUUUCAUUCAAAUAUAUCAAGUAGAUCAUUACUUUCUAGUUUGACUCAAGUUAAUCUAUUCUUUCUGUUAAUUUGUACAUGUCGUUAGGCUCAACUCUGCUUUUUAGUCAUUUAUAAUAUCAAAUGUUAAUAUUUAUGUUAAUUAUCGACCCGGAACAGCGUGAAAGUAAAUAGGAUAACCUCACAUGUAAAUGAACUUCAAAAAUUUAUAAGCUCUACUGGUUAGGUCAUGACAUAAAUUCUUGUGAUCUUCAUUUACAUGUCAGACUAUCCUAGUCACUUCCAUGCUGCACUCGAUAACUAACGAAAAUAUUAACAGUAAUUGUUGUAAUUGAUUGAAAAAGAGAUUAGAUUCAUACUGCUUGUACGGAAUAACAGAGUGAAUGGUUAACUUGAGUCAAACUGGAAAGUAAUGAUUUACUUGAUAUAUUUGGAUGAAACGAGUGACUAACUUGAUAUUUUUCCCAAAAGAAAAAUAUCAUCGGGGGUAUGAAACUGGCAAGGAGUAGAGAUCGACCGAACAAGAAAGAUUAAGCAAAAUAAAAAGAAAUUCUGACAAUACAUAGAGGGUUCAUUCGAUUUCUCUUUGAUUAUUUUUCAAGUUGAUCUACCAAACCUUCUUGUGAUCUAUGUUGAAUGGUUAAUUAUGUGAACAAGCAAUUGUUCAUAUUAUUAUUAUUAAUUAUCAAUGGAGCCACCCCCUUUUCUUUAGGAAUGUGACACUAUUUUUUAGAUCCUUUAAUUUGAUGAACAAAAACAUAACCAAACCUGAACAAAAUUACAUCAACUGUCCUUGCAAAAAAAGAAAUUUAAAGAAAGGAGAAACUUAUGGUAGAUAUUUAAACCUUCACAAUAAAGGGAAGAUGGACAACGAAAGAACUUUUAAAAAAUAUAUCCAGAAUCCAGGAAUAGGCUACUAGUAAAGGUUGGUCCUUGACCUUUCCCUAAUGACAAGGUCAGUGGUUCAUAUCCACACUCCACUUCGCUAUGAAGUUCCGUGUUAUAAGCAUGCAUGUUUUUAUUCCUUAGCAAUUCAUUUCUCAUACAAUGCUCAAGCAAGAAGUGAGUUUAAAGAAUAUGUCUACUCUACAUGGAAUAGUAAGACCACCUUCUACAUGAUCAACUAUGAAUUCUUUUUCGGCUUGAGUCAAUAAAUUUUGAUAGGGAGGUUCACUUAAAUAUGCUAUCGGGAUUGUAUAAGCUACUUCUCUGGCCUCCCCAACAUAAACUGCCAUAAGCCUUUUGGAAGAAGAAGCACUGUUGAACUAGCAAGAUAUCUCAACAAAACAGAGAAGACUGAUUGAUACUUUUCUUAACAUGAGAAAUAACAGUCAUACGGUUUUCAUGGUGUAAUGAAAAAAUUGACAGGAAUGAUUAUAUAAUGAAAGUAGAUGUGGAUGAAAAUUUUGAUGGUUCGGCUAAUUAGUUUAUGUUGACUUGUUUGCAGUUCCAUUUUUCUGCGAUUAGAUAUAAAAAGGAGAAAUGAAAUAUCAUCUAAAAUAUGAGAAAUUCACACGCCUUUCUCUUUGGCUCACCACAUAGAUUAACAACUCAGAGGCCAUAUCUAUUUCUGCUAGGAAACAUCUCAUGUUCCCAAUUGAUUGCUUAUGUGCACCACCUCAAAAAUCAACACUUCUGCAUCAGAUAAAGAUUUCAAGAGAGAGUAGCACAUGGGUCUGUAUUUAUGUUACCCUACUGCUUCUUGUACCACAAAGCCAAAUACAUGCUUCAGACAAGGAUUAGAAGGUUGAUUUUACGUUUGAUUAUGUUAAAAAUUCAAAUAAUUGGACUCCUAAAAAUUUAAGGCAGAGCUAUCAGACAACUAAGAUAUUUGAUUAUCCUUGGUAUGUGUAGGGCAAGUUGUGUCUUGGUAAGCAGAGACAUAUAUCCCAAACUUCUCCAACCUUGCUACACAUUCUGUAUUUGUAGGACAUCACCAUGUGCUAGUGACUUAUUAUUUCAUUUUCAGUGUUCAAGAAACCUUCUAUAUAAACAUAGCGAAUUUGACAUAAAUCAACACAAGGCUUACUAGCAAACCUUCAUUUCUUUCAUCAAGCAUCGUCCACGUAUAACAUAAAUCAAGUAUCUGUGAUCAGUUCCACGUUAUUCUGAAAUUUAUCGAAAUUGGCAUAUAAUAGUGGGUUAACAGAUAAAUUUCUUGAAAAUUGAUAUGGGAGAAAGCAGCCUCUUAUCUUAUAUUCCUAUAUUUCAGAAAGAUUUAGUCAGAACCUAUUACAGUUUCUCUGUGAUCAUAUUUACUAGACCGAAAUUGAUCAGGCAUCGACCUGCAGAAGAUACUUGGCAAGGUAUAACAAUAAUGCUUCAAGUUGCUUCAAGUUAAAUCUGCAGCACAUACAUUAUUUCAUUUAUUUUAUGUUAGAGAUUGAUCACCCCUAGACAAAAAAUGCGCUACAUUAUGUGUUCUACAAAUGUAUACCUGAUCAAGACUUGAUAUGAAAUUACAAAUUCAAAUUGGAACUUUAAGUUGAUAUUUUGACGAUAUGAUUUAUUUUUUCAGAUUUAUAGUUGAUUAUUAGUUUGAGUUUUAUGCAUAAUUGGUUUGGUUUUUGACUUAUUAUGAAUUGAUAAUGACAUAGCUGUAAUAAGAGUUGCAUGCUAGUAAUUUGGGUUGAGUUAUGUGUGAUUAUGUUUAUGUAUCACUGAGUUUGGUAUAUGAGGGCAGCCCUGUGAUUUUAUGUUCAUGGAAUGGUGAUAUCUUUAAAUUUAAUUAUGAAUUCUGUGAUUUUAUUGAGUUGAUUGCUUUUAGUUUCAUCUGCAUGCCCUGUCCUAUGCUAAAUCUGCAGCCUUGAGUUUAUAUGUGCUGUGUUCAAUUCGAAAAUUUGGGGAAAACAGGCCUAAUGACAUGAGACUUUGAUUAUCUAAUGACCUUGAUGUGGACCAAGAGAAUUUGGCUAAAUUUUAAAUCAAAUAACGAAUGUUAUGUGAGGAUUCAGUUCUGAUAUAAGUGUGUAGUGAUUAUUAAAAAACCAUAAAUCUUGUUAGCAUAUAAAUGGAUAAUAAGAGAAAUUUUAUGAAUUUCAUAAGUGCUUGAUGCUUCUGUUCUUGAAUCCAAUAAUGUAGAAUUUAUAAAAACAACUAAUUCAAGGUUUAAGAAAUUUAGACAGAUCGAGUGUUAAUUCCAGUCAUUAAGAAAGGCAUACUUGCUCUGAUACCACUGUUGAGCCAGCUAAGCAAGCCAGUUACGGACCAGUUACGGACCAAUUACGGUCCAACCUUGCUCUGAGCCAAGACUCCACAAUAGUACGAUAUUGUCCGCUUUGGUACGAUAUUGUCCGCUUUGGGCCUAGCCCGCAUGGCUUUGUUUUUGGGCACCUCUCAAAAGGCCUCGUUCUAUUGGAGUUGUUCUGGCUGCUUAUAUUCUAACUUUAUGCUCCUCCCACAACCGAUGUGGGAUUUGUUCUAACAGUAACUUUUGAGACAGAUUCUAUUUCUGGUGGUAAACAUCUCAUGGACCCAGUUGAAUGCUUAUACAUAGAAGAACAGAGAAGUAAUCAAUUAUUAAACAUCAAUCAAGAGAUUACAAUAGAAAGUAGCACAUCAGUUUGUACCUGCAUUACCUUACUACUUCCCGUACCACAAAAAUAUAAUAUAUGUGCUCAGACAAGGGUUAGAUGGUAUGAUUCCUGUGUGAUGGUGUUUAAAAUCUCAAAAAAUAGACAACCUAUAAAUUCAAGAUCAUCAUAUGUAAUACGGCAGGGUGUGUCUUGGUCAUACAGUCUUCCUAUUCAUUUGAUAUUUGUAGGACAAAACCAUGUGGAAGUGACUUAUUAUCACCAAUGUAUAUGCAUUAGUAGUCCUUAAUUUACUAUUCAAGAAUUGGUUCAUCUGCUAUAUAAGCACAUCAUUGGGAUUUUAACGGAAACCAUUUUAAGCUUAACACUAUUAACCUUCAUUUGUUCGUCUAGCCAUUGGUUAGUCAUCUACCUCAUUAACAUUCAUUCCAUGCACAUAAAGUCACUUACAAUCACGUCUAUUCACAUUCCUCGUAUUCCUCAUGUCAAGCAAAUUUGUGAAAAAAAAUCUGCAUAUACAGCAAAACAAUUAGCAGCGACGUCUAUGGAUAUAAAGAAGUUGCUGGAUAUCUCGUAGGUGGAAAAAACAUUGUCACAUGAAGACCUUAUUUGUGAACCCCGCCAUAAAACAAUUAAGUCUCUAGGAAAAUUGUAGGACAUCAAGUGUUAAUGUAUACCAUUUCAAUAUAAUGUCACUUUCUGUAAAUUUGUUGUGGAUGAUUUGAUAAGUAGGGGCAUGCUGUCUUGCAACAGACAGAGAAGUCAUUCUAUCUGUCAUAAAUAUAUGUAGCUAUUGAAAGAGAAAUUCAUGUGCUAGUGUCUAAUGCCUCUUCACCACUCAAGUUACAUUUUGAUGAACUGUUCAAUUUUCUAUAUAAAUACAUAACUGGGUAUUAAUAAAUUUCACCACAAAACUCAAUUGUCUAAAGUCUUCACUAUACAAGUCCUUUACUUUCUCCAUAUUCUCUAAUUGAUCUAAUAGUAUUAUGGGUAUUCGUUUGCCUCGUGUUACCAAUCUCAAGAAAAUCCUUAACCCGUCAUCUUUCUUGAUAAGUCCUGAUUAUACUUCAACAGUUCCAAAGGGUUGCUUGGCAGUAUAUAUUGGGGAGAAGCAAAGAAGAAGAUUUGUGGUUCCCAUUUCAUACCUGAAUGAUCCUGCCUUCCAAGACUUGUUAAAUCAAGCUGAGGAAGAAUUUGGGUUCAGCCAACCAGAAGGCGGCCUCACUAUUCCCUGCUCAGUGGACACAUUCAUUCACCUUGCUUCACACCUGGAUAGAUCAUAGAGAAAAACAUUUAUAUACUGGUAGAUAGUAUGGCAUUGAAAUGUAAAUAGUAGAAUAGAGAUUUUAAUCAGAUUUUUGUUGGCAACGGAUGAUUUGAAGCUCACCAUUUUGUUGAAUUUAACUUUACCAAAAUUUAUCCAUCAUAGUUUCUUCUUAAAAAUCUCUAUUCUACUAUUUAAUAUAAAGAACUAAAAAAUUUGAUUGCCAAAUUAGUAACUUUUUCUUGUAAUAUAUGCACUCGUAAAGCAAAUUAGGGAUUUUGAAAUCUCCUUAUGAUUUGCAUCCAAUGACAUUCGCAUAGAAAAGAAAAUGAUCUGAAGACUGCAGGCUCUUCCUUAGAUUUUAGGCAUCCAGGAGAUUUUCUGAUUACAAUGAGACAGCAAAUUUUCUUCUGUCUUGGCUACCUGCUGCAUGUAAUGACAUAUGAUUCGAACUGUGAAUGUCAAGUCUGGUCAGAGUUAGAAAGUUAAACUUAUCUACCCAGAACCAAUAAAUGAUGUUCUUGAUAAAAACAGCAAAUUUCAGAGGCAAUGAUUGUUGAAUGCAGACAGGUUUACAUAUUAUCCUUUAGGUGGUACUAACAUAAAAUGGAAUGAAACGACAAGCUUAUCAGUGGCUUCGUGGCUUACAUGAAGACUACAAAAAAACCUGCACAACUGAAAUUGUAAGGUUGAGUAUGUCAACUGCUAGAGUGAAUUUGAAUAAACAAGUUCUUCACAUCAAUCCAAAGAGAUCUCGGUAAUCCCAGGAGAGCAAUAUGUAUGAAUAAAUAGAUGCUAAUCAAUUAAGCAAAAUAAAUUCUUCACUGAUAUGUAAAAAUAAUAAUUCUGUGUAAUGAGAUGGUUACUCUAAUCUUCCCUAGGUUAUCAAAUGGAAGCGGAUUGAGUAGUAUACAGUACAAACCAGAACCUUACAAAAUUGUUAGUACCAGAUUAUAGCUACUUGUUUCUUAUAUCUGCGCAAGACUAAACUGAGGUUAACCAAUGUCUUCUCUACACGGAAAAGCCACUUCAAACAAUAAAGACAUAGAAAUUGCUCUUCUUUUGAACAAUUACAUUUGUGAUCGGACCAAUAAUGUAUAAAGCUGCUUAUCUAUAUUUCAAAUAAAAAUGACUACAUACUGAUUGCAGAGAUCAAAUCCAUGUAGAAAUUAAUGAAAUCAAAUUACAAAGUAUCAGCUAAUGUUCUACCUACAAGAUUUAUAUGAGAGCCAUAUAUAAAAUUUCUAGACUAGCUUACAAAAUUUGUACACUGUCUAACAACAUAUAUAUAAACUCUCAUAAUCUGUUCAAGAGAUCAAUGAAGGUGUCUUCUUUGCAUGGAAUUGUGAGGCCACCUUCUGGCUGACUAAACCCAAAUUCUUCCUCUGCUUGACUUAACAGUUCUUGGAACGUAGGCUCGUUUAAGUAAGAAAUCGGAACUACAAAUCUUCUUCUUUGGUUCUCCCCAACAUAAACUGCAAUGCAUCCCUUAGGGACAUUUGUACUACGAUCAAAAUUUUUUAAGGAAAAUUGUCUGUUGAGAAUUUGCUUGAGAUUAGUGAUAUGAGGCACACGAAUACCCAUGAUGCUCAAGAAAAAUUGAAACUUCAACGGAUAAUCUCUGGGGAUAUCGAAAAUACAAGAACUUCUGAAGAUGGAAGGCUUAGACCCUUAAUUACACUUGAUUUUGUGAUGAAAUUGGUUGAGGAUAUCACAGUUUUUAUAUAGAAAUGACAAGUAAUGAGUGGUUGAUUUAAAUGCAGAUUGAGUGGCACAGAUGCAUUAGGCAAUAGCACAUGCUAUUCUCUUUCAAAGGCCACACAUAUUUAAGAGUAAUGUCUGUUGAGAGACGUCAAUUCCUACUGCUUCUGUUCAACAAAUCUGGACCUGAUAUAUUCUCAUGUCCUACUGAUAGUGUAGAUAAGACAGAAUAUAACAUAAAAUAUACGGAUAUGAACAAGAUACAGAUAAUUUGGCUGGAAAGUCCUCACUUUGCCUGGAAACCAAGGUAGCAAAUUUUAUGUUGUUAGUUUUUGUGGUCAGUAGUUGUGGGUGGGACAGACAAGUUAGGUACUCAUGUGAUAGUGUUUUCAUUCACCUAGCCUAGCUGUUUAUUUUGUGUAGUAGGAAACACCUGAUACAAGUUGUUAUAUCCAUGAAAGAAAGGGCAAAUUUAUGUAAGAAAUAGAUGACUGUUAGGAUUUUGUGUGUUAGGAUUAUAAGUUUUUAUAUGUUUAUAUUCACAAAACAAAAAGUAAAUAAAAAUAGACGGGUGCUGGUCCCCAGCAUAUGGUUGCUGGGGAGGGUUUAAACAACAUACAGCUCCUGAACUGUUGGAUCAGAUGAGGGACGGCUGAGAUAAAAAAAAAAAUGUUCUCGUCCAGCGCUUAAAAACCGCUGAACGGUACACGUAGAAUUUUUUUAUUUUUUUUGUGUCCAGCGCCUAAGAAGCGCUGGAAGCACAGGCAAAUUUCAUGUGCGGCUCUGGAGCCUGUUAUCAAGUUCUCAAAAGGUUUAUUAGCCUUGUUCAUUGAAAAUAGCUCUCAUUCUUGUUAUCAUUUUUUCUAGAAGAUCUUGACAAGCCAAAUGAAUAUAUAUCUUCUGUCUGGGCCUUGGUGCCUCCGGUAACUCCCAAGCCAGGCCCCUGAUUCACCAGAAUUUUAUUAGGAGAUAAUUCCAAAGAUGUGAAGGGUUCUCGAUUUGCAAAAUUCAUAGCUGAAAGACAGAAAAUGCUAAAGAAGAUUUCUGACAGAUAAAUUAGAUAGCUCUUUUAUCAAAUUUCUUCCCAGCAAGUUGUGACAGUUGCCCAAUUCCAGUAUAAAUUAGGAAGAGAACUGCCACCAACUGGAAAUAUACUUUGAAGAUCCACUAGAAGCCAUGAAAAAAUAUAUCACCACAUCUGCUUCUGCUGCAGAAGAAUGAGAGCUAUUUUUAAGAUAAAUGAGGCUAUUAACCUUUUGAGAACUUGAUAAUAGGCUCCAGAGCUGCACAUGGAAUGCGGAAUUUCAGAUGUUGUAUAAGCAUCCCUCCAUCAUGCCUUGUAUUGCUGCAUCAACAUUAAUUUAUAUCUUCUCUGGUUGCCUGUGCUUCCAGUGCGUUUUAAGCGCCGGACACAAAAAAAUAUCCUCUCGUCCAGUGCUUAAAAACCGCUGGAUGUGUACCAUUCAGUGUACACAUCCAGCGGUUUUAAAACGCUAGACGAGAACAUUUUUUCUUCUGAUCUCAGCCGUCCCUCGCUAUAUCCAACGGUCCAGAAACCGUAUGUUGUUUAAACUCUCCCCAACAAUCAUAUACUGGGGACCAACACCCAAAACAGAUUGUUGAAAUAUAGCAUAAGGUCCAUUCUAGGCCUUCCUCUAACACUUUAAGGUUUCAGAUGGAUUGUUUUUCAACAUGGUAUCAGCCAUCAGGGCUCUGAUUUGGCGGAGGUCUCAAAUGUCCACGUAGGCAUUAAUUACCCCAAAGAUGGGCGCCCGUGAUUCCCUCUUUAACCCAAAAAUGGGACUCCAGACCGCGUCUUCACUAAUUCCUUGAGAGCCGUCAUUUUGGCUCACAACUUCACCACUUCUGAUGAAUGACCUUUACUUGAGCAAUCCUCCUUCAAUUCCUCAUGCUCCGACCAAUCAUCUGCAGAUGCUUUCUUCUUGCGUCGAAACGAGCUAUACGAGCCAACCGAAUCCUCCCUUCUAGAGCGUUCACUAUACGCUGAACCUCGAAAGGAGGAUUCGUAAUCCUCUGUUGGAUACUCGGAUGAAGCAACAUGCUCAUCCUUCUUUUUCGCAAAUUCCUCUUCCCAUUUCUCAGCCUCACGCCUCUGCUUCAUCUGAAACUCUAUCCGUCUCCGCUCGCGGUCAAGGGUGUCAAGUUCGCUCUUGAUCGCUUCACGGUUCAACUGCUCCUUAUCUUCAACAGCCAAUCUUUUGGCCUUAAGCUUCUCUAAAUGCAAUCUCGCAUCACCAGAAUGUGCCUUUUUACCUUGCGGCGUCACUGCCAGUGUGCGUGUACGGCGACGUCGCCUACUACCACCUCCGGUAGGAUCCGAAUAAGCCGGACCACCGCGAGAUUCACCUGCUCUAGUUUCGAACAGCUUUUUGUGUUUUAGUGUCUAUCUCCUUAGUUACUAUCACCUCUCGUGUUUCCAGAACUUGUAUCGUCUCCCUCGCUUCAUCUGCCAUGGUAGAUCUGCCCCCUCCUUCUAGCGCCAAAUGCUGAUCUGCCCUCUCCUUCUAGCGCCAAAUGCUGGAACAGUGUAUGUAUGUUUAUUACAGAGUGUAUGUAUCUAUUCUAUUCUCAGAUUCCAACCCUGUGUUAGCUGCUCUGUUUAUAUAGCACUCUGGCACGUGACUUCCUCAUGCUUGCUGUUUGGGCUUAUUCUUCUUUGGGCUGCCUCUCACUCUGGGCCAAGGCCCAACAACUUCAACAGUUCCAAAGGGUUACUUGGCAGUAUAUAUUGGGGAGAAGCAAAGAAAAAGAUUUGUGGUUUCCAUUUCAUACCUGAAUGAUCCUGCCUUCCAAGACUUGUUAAAUCAAGCUGAGGAAGAAUUCAUUCAUUCACCAUUCAUUCACUAUUCCCUGCUCAGUGGAAACAUUCAUUCACCUUACUUCACGCCUGGAUAGAUUAUAGUGAGAAAACAUUUAUGUACAGGUAGAUAGUACAACACUGAAAUGUAUAUAGUAGAAUAGGGAUUUUGAUCAGAUUUUUGUUGGCAACGGAUAAUUUGAUACUCACCAUUUUGUUGAAUUUAACAUCACCAGAAUUUAUCGAUCAUAGUUACUUCUUAUAAAUCUGGAUUAAUAUAAAGAAAAAAAAAACUUGAUUCCCAAAUUAGUAACUUUUUCAUGUAAUAUAUGCACUCCUAAAGCAAAUUCUACAUAGGAAGGGAUUUUGAAGUCUCCUUAUGAUUUGCAUAGAAGGGAAGUGGAUUUGGUGUAUGUUUGUACCCAGAUUUUACAGGCGUCAGGACACGACGUGAACUGCACUGACACGACGGGAAGUACUGGCGACAAGACAUGUAGUGGCAGAUGGAUAAGCAUGAAGACUGGGUCUUAACAAACCCACCUUUUUAGGGGGAGAAUUCAAAUGGAAGUUAGAGAGGUGCCAGGAAUAUAGGAGGAAGUUACAUGCACGUGGGAGUUAAGUGGAGAGAAAAUAGGAGUUGCAUAUGGGAUAGGACUCUUGGAAGACAAGUAUAUAUACGGAGGGCACAUUACACUACUUCUAGGUUAUCUCUACAUGCUGCAUAAUAGACUCUGAGUUAUCUUCUACUCAUUACAUUGUAGUGCAACUCUAAGAGAUUAUCAUCAAGAGACUUCUACACGCCUACAACUUCUUCUUCUACCUAAUACCAUUAUUUUUCUUACGCAUAAACCCCAAACCAAGCCCAAGAUAUACAAAUUGAUACACACACAUAUAUACAUAUAUUAACAUACAAGGAUUUCUCUUCUUCAACUUAUAUCAGCUGAGUUACACAUCUUCAUCUCCCUCAAAUCAUUCUGCCGACGGGUACAUAGAGGUGUCGACGGGUGCACACUGCUGUUGGACGGGUGCAUGCUGCUGUCGGACAUGAACUACUUCUGAAGCCGACGUCUGCGUAUUUUUGUACUUGUAUCUUGCUUUUAUCAUACUUGUAAGCUGAUGUUACAUCAUUAUAGUGGAUAUUUGGCUGGGACAUUCCCACCCGCGGUUUUUAACCUUUUACAAGGGGUUUUCCGCGUCACCAAAAUUGUUUGUGUUCUUGUCUUUUGCUCUCUAUUCGAUAUUCAUCUAUUUGAUCUACUAAACAUUCAUACAUUAAACACUUACUCCAUUGUUAUAGAAAUUAAAUAGGCUUGGCUUUUAACCCCGCAAAUUUUGGUAAAAACAGGUGUUUGACUGGUUGCUCGUUCUGGACUUGAUUCAUAUUGACAGCAGCAUAUCUAUGGGCUGAGAAUACACUGGUUCUAGUUGGUGACUUUAAAAUUCAGUAAUAUGAAAUAUAAUUUUCAUAUGGUGUUAGAAGUUGAGUUUUAGCAUACAUGUUUGAAAAGAGACCAUGCAACUAUUAAAUUGAUCGAGAGAAAUUAUUACACGCCACAAAGGUUUCCUUUAGGAAUCUUAAGUAUCCAAGACUGCAGGCUGUUCCUUCGAUUUUAGGCAUCUAGAAGAUUUUCUGAUUACAAUGAGACAGCAGAUUUUCUUGUGUCUUGGCUACCUGCUGCAUGUAAUUAUAUAUGAUUUAAACUGUGAUGUCAAGUCUGGUCAGAGUUGAAAAGUUAAACUUAUCUACCCAGAACAAUUAAAUGAUGUUCUUGAUAAAAACAGCAAAUUUCAGAUGCAAUGAUUGAGGAACGAAGACAGGUUUACAUAUUAUCUUGUAGGUACUAAAAUGAAAAAAAAGGGAAUGAAACGUCUGGCUUACAUGAAGACUACAAAAAAACCUGCACAACUGAAAUUGGAGGGUGAGUCUGUCAGCUAUUAGAGUGAAAUUGAAUAAACAUGUUAUUUGCAUCCAUCCAAAGAGUUCUCGGUAAUUCCAGGAUAGCAAUAUGUAUGAAUGAAUAGAUACUUAUUAACUAAGCAAAAGAAAUUCUUCACUGAUGAUUUCUAAAAAAACAUAUUUCUGUGUAAUGAGAUGGUUACUUUGAUCUUCCCUAGGUUACCAGAUGGAAGUGGAUUGACUAGUAUACAUUACAAACUGGAACCUUGCAAAAUUGUUAGUACCAGAUAAUAGCUAUUUCAAAUAAAAAAGUACUUACAAAGAUAUAUAAUACCUAAAAGAUUAAAGAUUGCAGAGAUCAAAUCCAUGUAGAAAUUAAUGUGAUCAAAUUACAAUUAAAGUAUCAGCUAUUGCUCUACCUAAAAGAUUUAUAUGGGAGUCAUAUAUAAAAUUUCUGGACUAGUUUACAAAAUUUGUACACUAUCUAACAACAUAUAUAUAAACUCUCAUAAUCUGUUCAACAGAUCAAUGAAGGUGUCUUCUUUGCAUGGAAUUGUCAGGCCUCCUUCAGGAUGACUAAACCCAAAUUCUUCCUCAGCUUGACUUAACAGGUCUUGGAAUGUGGGCUCGUUUAAGUAAGAGAUCGGAACUACAAAUCUUCUUCUUUUGUUCUCCCCAACAUAAACUGCAAUACAUCCUUUAGGGACAUUUGUACUACGAUCAAGAUUCUUUAAGGAAAAUUGUCUGUUGAGAAUUUGCUUGAGAUUAGUGAUAUGAGGCACACGAACACCCAUGAUGCUCAAGAAAAAUUGAAACUUCAAAGGAUAAUCUUCGGGGAUUAUGGAGAAUACAAGAACUUCUGCAGAUGGUAGGCUUAGACCCUCAAUUAGACUUGAUUUUGUGAUGAAUUUGGUUGAGGAUAUCACAGUUUUUAUAUGGAAAUAGCAAGUAAUGAGCGGUUGAUCAAAAUGCAGAUUGAGUGGAACAGAUGCAUUAGGCAAUAGCACAUGCUAUUCUCUUUCAAAGGCCACACAUAUUUAAGAGUAAUGCUAGGACUUGAAUGUCUGUUGAGAGACAUCAUGUCCUACAAAUCUGGACCUUAUAUUUUGUCAUUUAAAUUUAGGUUUUAUGCGUAUAGUGGAGUUAAGACAGAAUAUAACACAAUAUAUACGGAUAUGAACAAGGUACAAAAAAUUUGGGUGGAAAGUCCUCACUUUGCCUGGCAAGCAAGGUAGCAAAUUUUAAGUUCUUAGUUUUUGUGGUCAGUAUUUCUGGGUGGGACAGACAAGUUAGGUACUCAUGUGAUAGUGUUUUCAUUCACCUAUCCUAGCUGUUUAUUUUGUGUAGUAGGAAACACCUGAUACAAGUUGUUAUAUCCAUGAAAGAAAGGGCAGAUUUAUGUAAGAAACAGAUUAUCAGACUUACUACACAACUUUCUGAUUGUUCUAUAUAAACACAUAAUUAAGCUCACUGGUCUAAAGUCUUUUCCAUAAAACUAUACAAGUCCUAGUGUUUAUCCAGUUUCCUGAACUCUUCUCUGAAAGAUCUUUGGUGUCAUGGGUAUCCGUAUGCCUCCUAUUACCAAUCUCAAACAAAUCCUUAUCCGCUCAUCUUACUCUUUAAAUCUCUGGGGAUAUGGAAACUUCUGCAGGUGGAAGGCUUAGACCCUUAAUUACACUUGAUUUUGUGAUGAAUUUGGCAGAGGAUAUCACAGUUUUUAUAUAUUCAUUUAAAGAGAUAUAUUCAUACAUUCACCUGAAUUAAGCUAAAAUUUUGUAAUUUCCCUGAAAAGCCUUCCAAUCUAAUAAAAAUUAAAAUAGAUACCUUAUAUACAAAUUUUAUAANCACCCAUGAUGCUCAAGAAAAAUUGAAACUUCAAAGGAUAAUCUUCGGGGAUUAUGGAGAAUACAAGAACUUCUGCAGAUGGUAGGCUUAGACCCUCAAUUAGACUUGAUUUUGUGAUGAAUUUGGUUGAGGAUAUCACAGUUUUUAUAUGGAAAUAGCAAGUAAUGAGCGGUUGAUCAAAAUGCAGAUUGAGUGGAACAGAUGCAUUAGGCAAUAGCACAUGCUAUUCUCUUUCAAAGGCCACACAUAUUUAAGAGUAAUGCUAGGACUUGAAUGUCUGUUGAGAGACAUCAUGUCCUACAAAUCUGGACCUUAUAUUUUGUCAUUUAAAUUUAGGUUUUAUGCGUAUAGUGGAGUUAAGACAGAAUAUAACACAAUAUAUACGGAUAUGAACAAGGUACAAAAAAUUUGGGUGGAAAGUCCUCACUUUGCCUGGCAAGCAAGGUAGCAAAUUUUAAGUUCUUAGUUUUUGUGGUCAGUAUUUCUGGGUGGGACAGACAAGUUAGGUACUCAUGUGAUAGUGUUUUCAUUCACCUAUCCUAGCUGUUUAUUUUGUGUAGUAGGAAACACCUGAUACAAGUUGUUAUAUCCAUGAAAGAAAGGGCAGAUUUAUGUAAGAAACAGAUUAUCAGACUUACUACACAACUUUCUGAUUGUUCUAUAUAAACACAUAAUUAAGCUCACUGGUCUAAAGUCUUUUCCAUAAAACUAUACAAGUCCUAGUGUUUAUCCAGUUUCCUGAACUCUUCUCUGAAAGAUCUUUGGUGUCAUGGGUAUCCGUAUGCCUCCUAUUACCAAUCUCAAACAAAUCCUUAUCCGCUCAUCUUACUCUUUAAAUCUCUGGGGAUAUGGAAACUUCUGCAGGUGGAAGGCUUAGACCCUUAAUUACACUUGAUUUUGUGAUGAAUUUGGCAGAGGAUAUCACAGUUUUUAUAUAUUCAUUUAAAGAGAUAUAUUCAUACAUUCACCUGAAUUAAGCUAAAAUUUUGUAAUUUCCCUGAAAAGCCUUCCAAUCUAAUAAAAAUUAAAAUAGAUACCUUAUAUACAAAUUUUAUAAGAAGUUAACAGAAACUACCCUAAAAAUUUCACAUUCUACCUCAGAGAUCAGGGAAGUCAAGUUUUAAGGUGUUUUUCGUUAACAGACUGAGACUGGUAUUUUUACGGACAAAUAGAAUUUGCUAACUAAACGUAUUUGAGAUAAGAACCGAUUACAAAAAAUCUACAAGAACGAAUAAUUUCAUGUAUUCUUGAUGCCUAAAAGAUUUUCAUGGAAAGUCUCAGUCAAAUAUAAAAUGUCUGGACUAGUUCACAAAAUUUGUAAACUAUCUAACAACAUUUCAGUAAGUAUGUAUCUGUACAGAUAUAUAUAAGCUCUCAUAAUAUGUUCAAGAGAUCAAUGAAGGUGUCUUCCUUGAAUGGAAUUGUGAGGCCACCUUCUGGAUGACUAAACCCAAAUUCUUCCUCUGCUUGACUUAAAAGGUCUUGAAAUGAAGGCUCAUUUAAGUAAGAGAUCGGAACUACAAAUCUUCUUCUUUGGUUCUCCCCAACAUAAACUGCCAUGCAUCCCUUAGGGACAUUUGUACUACGAUCAAGAUUUGUUGAGGUGAAUUGGCGGUUGAGAAUUUGCUUAAGACUAGUGAUACGAGGAACAUGAAUACCCAUGAUGCUAAAAUCAAAAAUUUGUAGUAUUCAGGAUAAACUCUGCUGAUAUUAAAAUACAAGGACUUUUGCAGAUGGAAGGCUUAGAACUUGAAUACAAUGGAUUAUGUGAUAAAUUUGGUUGAGUUUAUAAUAGCUAUUUUAUAGAGCACAUAGGAAGUAGUAUUGAACAUUUGAUUGAGUGGCACAGAUGAAUUAGGCAUUAGCACAUGCUAUUCUCUCUCAAUGGCCACAUAUGUUUAAGACUAAUGGUAGGACUUAAAUGUUUGAGUCUUGUAGUGUGGAUAAGAGAGUAUACAAAAAUGUUUGAGUCUUGUAGUGUGGAUAAGAGAGUAUACAAAUAAUUUGGCUGGAAACUCUUGAGUUUUAGUUGUGACAGACAAGUUAGGUGCUCAUGUGAUUGUGUUUUCAUUUACCCAUCCUAGCUGUUUAUUUUGUUGAAUUGAUGAAUCAUUUAGUAGAAAACAGUAGCUGCUGGGGAUUAAUCAAGCAGACGUAGUAGGGCUUGAUGUCUCGCAACACACAUAAAUCUAAUCUUCUUGGUCAUAUAUACUUGUAGCUAUCAGAACAUAAUAUCAUGUGCUAGUGUCUACUGCUUCUUCACCACUCGGAUAAUAUUUCUAAUAAAUUCUUUGAGUAGUUCUAUGUUCUAUAUAUACAUAUAUUUAAGCAUUCGUAGAAUUCAUCACAAACUCAAUUGCUUCAAGCUUUAAACUUACAUUUCCUUGUGUUUCUGUUGUUUCCCCCCAACUUUUCACUAAAAGAUCUGUUGCAUCAUGGGUAUUCGUGUGCCUCGCAUUGCUAAUCUCAAAAAAAUCCUCAACCGGUCAUCUUUCCUGAUAAAUCCUGAUCUUACUUCAACAAUUCCAAAGGGGUGCUUGGCAGUUUAUAUUGGGGAGAGGCAAAGAAGCAGAUUUGUGGUUGCGGUUUCAUACCUGAAUUUUCCUGCCUUCCAAGAAUUGUUAAGUCAAGCCGAGGAAGAAUUUGGAUUCAAUCAUCCGGAAGGAGGUCUUACGAUUCCUUGCUUAGUGGACACAUUCAAUGAAAUUGUAGAAUCGGAUUAUUUUAUACAUAUACAUCUAGAGAGCAUAGCACCUUCGAUCUCAUUUGAUGAGCUUCAGAUUGUAAAUUGUAGAAUCGGAUUAUUUUAUAAAUGCUUAUUACAUAUUUACGUAGAGCAAUAAAAAACUCUGUUUUUAAAACAUCCUUUGACAGAUUGAUUAAUAUAGAGCAUCACGGUUAUUUGUAUGUCUGUAUUGCUAAUCUUGAACAAAUCUUGACCAGUAAUUUUGUUGAUAUAUCUGACAUGUAAAUGAAUUUUAAAUAUUUAUAUGCUCCCCUAGUCAGGUUAUGACAUAAACUCUUAUAGUCUUCGACUCUUCGUUUACAUGUUAAGCUAUUCUAGUCACUUCCACGCUGCACCAUGUUGAUAACUGACGAAAAUGUUAACAUUUAAUUUUGUAAUUGACCUAAAAAGAGAUCAGAUUCAUACUGCUUGUACAAAAUAACAAAAUGAAUGAUUAAUUUGAGUCAAACUGGAAAGGAAUGAUCAAUUUGAGUCAAACUGGAAAGGAAUGAUCUACUUGAUAUAUUUGGAUGAAACGAGUGACCAACUUGAUAUUUUUCCUAAAAAAAUAUCAUAGAAAUAUGGAGUAUGAAACUAGCAAGGAAUGGAAGUCGACACAGGAAGAAAGAUUGAGCAAAAUACAAAGAAAUGUUGAGAAUACAUAGUGGUUUGAUUUGAUUUCUCUUUGAUUCUUUUUCGAGUUGAUCUACACCAAACCUUCUUGUGAUCUAUGUUGUUUGGUUAAUUAUCUGUACAGACAAUUGUUCAUAUUAUAUUAUUAAUUAUCAAUGCAGCCACCCCCUAUUCUUUGGAAUUUGAGGGUACUUUAGAUCCUUUAAUUUGAUGAACAAUAACACAAGCAAACCUGAACAGAACUGCUGAAAAAAGUUCUCCAGUAAAUCUCCAAAUUCUGCAGCAGCAUAAAUUUAAUCAUAAGAAUUUGCUUAAAAUUUACCAAAUUAUACACAAAAUUAGGCAAAUGUAUGCAUAAAAUAAGAAGUCAGCAGAAUCACAAACUAAAUUCCGUAGAUUAUAAGAGCAUCGGAGUCCAUAAUACAGAUUGCCUACUAAACUUUGCCGCAGAAAUUUUAUAAAUCAAUAAGUGUUCUAUGAAGACUUACACAACUAAUUUGCUGUAGAAUAGACAAAAUGUUCCUCAAACAAAAAAUUAAAAAUAACCCUAAUAUCAGAAUAUCAUUCAACUGCCUUCAUAGACAUUGAUACAUCCUUAAUCCUUUGAUGUGAGAUUGCUAGUUAAAACAAAAGUUAGUAUUUGGCGGGCUAGAUUGUGGAUAAUACAUGACAUGUCCUUGUAAAAAAAGAAAUUUAAAGAAAGGACAAACUUAUAGGAGAUAUUAAAACCUUCACAAUAAACGGAAGAUGGACAACAAAAGAACUUUUAAGAAAAUAUUCAGAAUCCAGGAAUAGGCUACUAGUAAAGUUGAUCCCCGACCUUUCCUAAUGACAAGGUCUGUGGUUCAUAUCCACACUCCACUUCGCUUUGAAGUCCCGCGUUAUAAGCAUGCAUGUUUUUAUUCCUUUGCCUCAACCUUAAGGUUUAUGUGAUGGAACCUUGCAAGACUAUUUCAACUGUUGAUGAUUAGCAACUUAAGAAGCAGAAUCAUAUCGUUCCGCCAUAAAGUUGAAUGGCAAUAAAAUAAUGAUAAUUAGUCUGCAAGUUCAAAUUACAAAAGUUAGUCUGUAAUCAGAACCUAAAACAGCCUAAAAUAAUAUAGAAAAAAAAGGGUGCCUAAAUUUAACUGAACUGCUUUCUUAAAAAUGGCAGUACAUCUCCUUUAGUCUCAGAUUUUUACAGCUUGUGCAAUCACAUAUGCACAUAUCUAAAAUUUUAUGAGGCUCGUGGUUCGUGAUGUUAAAUGAGACCUUGGUUGUCAGAACUGUGCUGCUGCUACUGGACAUAAAAGAGAACUGUAUUAUUGUUUGCUGCUAUAUUUAUCGGAAUGUUUAACAUAGCAUACUUCAUUCAGAGAAUAUAGAAUAUGAGAUUGACUCCUAAAAUUGACAAAAUCUUGACAGCAGAUGCAAUACAAAUCUGGAAAAAAAGCGCAUAAAAAAAAGUUGCGGACUAAUGGGAAAAACUUUAGCAUUCAGAAUAUUAUGUAGACAUAUCACAAAACAGAAAAUCCUCAUAUUCUGCAAACUAUGCUAAAAUCUGCAGUAAAUCUCUGAAUUAUGCAGAAACCCAGACUCUAUUUCUCUUAAGUUCUUUUGGAUUAUAUCGAGAAACUAAGUUGAUCGAAAAACCUUUAUCUCGCACAUCUACUUUCUGUAAUUCGACUUUAAAAACAAACUAAAAAUUGCACAUUUUUCUCCUUUUUACCCUUAACAAAAACAUUUCAUGAAUAUCCAUCAAGUCUAUAAUAAUUAAAAUUUCAAUAGUAGAAAUUAACUUAUAUACUUGCUUAUGCGGAGAACGGAUUAUAGGUUAGUUUCUAACUAAUUAAUCAAUAUAUUUCCUUGUAUAAUUUAAUUUAUAGGUCAUUUAUUUUCAUGAAUAUUCUUCAAAAGGCUAGGAACCUGCCCACUGGCUCCAUAGCCAACACAGGUAGGUAAUUCGGAGUCUCGGACUAACCGAGCGAUAAGACCCGGUGGGUGGGAACUUCCUUGCGAUACGCACGGAUAGGAACCCGAUCCCCUUUCUUCUGUCUCUUCAACUCGGGUGAACGUCAGGGAGCUGGUGAGGUUCGAACCCAUGACCCUUUGGAUCAAAGCAAGGCCCCGUUUCCACUGGGACAGCUCUCACACUUAUUUUCAAGAAUAUUGCUUUACAUCAAAUCAAGUUAAAAUUUUAUAAUUUCGAUAAAAACCCUUGAAUUGGAAAUAAUUAAAAGAAAAAUAACUUACAUAAAAAUUUAAGAUAAUUAUGCAAAAAAAUACCCCAACAAUUUGAUAUUCUACGUCGAGGAUAAUUUAAGUUUCAAAGCAAAUAAAUAUUUAUGUUUUUAUCAUAUUCACAGAUGGACUUUGCUGUUUAAUUGAGUAUAUACAUAUAGUAUGUAUGAGUUUAUAACCAGUGAUACAGAACACCUUCAAGAAAGAAUAAUUUCAAGAAUUAACACUCAAAUUUUUUUUAGUACUGCAAUUCAUUUCUCAUACAAUGCUCAAGCAAGAAGUGAGUUAAAGGAACAUGUCUACUCUACAUGGAAUAGUAAGACCACCUUCUACAUGAUCAGAUAAAGAUUUCAAGAGAGACUAGCACAUGGGUCUGUAUUUAUGUUACCCUACUGCUUCUUGUACCACUAAAUACAUGCUUCAGACAAGGAUUAGAAUGUUGAUUUUAUGUUUGAUUAUGUUAAAAAUUCAAAUAACUGGACACCUAACUAUUAAAGGCAGAGCUAUCAGACAACUAAGAAAUUUGAUUAUCCUUGGUAUUUGUAGGGCAAGUUGUGUCUUGGUAAGCAGAGAAUAUAUCCCAAACUCCUCCAACCUUGCUAUACAUUCUCUAUUUGUAGGACAUCACCAUGUGCUACUGACUUAUUAUUUCGUUUUCAUUGUUCAAGAAACCUUCUAUAUAAACAUAGGGACUUUGACAUAAAUCAACACAAGCAUACAAGCAAACCUUCAUUUCUUUUAUCAAGCAUCGUCUCAUCCUUUCCUUCUCGACAUCCACUUUAAAAAUACCAACUUAGAAACAUGGGUAUCCGCAUGCCUCGUAUUCCUCAUGUCAAGAAAAUCUUUCAGGGGUCUUCUUUGGCAACUACAGCAGUUUCAGACAUCCCAAAGGGCUGCUUGGCAGUUUAUGUUGGGGAGAGCCAAAGAAAAAGAUUUGUUGUUCCAAUUUCAUACUUGGCUGAGCCUGCCUUCCAGGACUUGCUAUGUCAAGCUGAGGAAGAAUUCGGUUUUGAUCAUCCAGAGGGGGGUCUUACAAUUCCCUGCAGAGAAGAUGUAUUUACAGAUCUCGCCUCAAGCUUGAGAAGAAAAUCAUAGAGAAGAACAUAAUCAAAAAAGUAGUUUAGAAAUUUUUUGUAAGCUAGUAGGAGAUAAGUUAGAAUAGGUUGGACCAAAGGCAUAAUUAUGCAAAUACUUUCUUCUGGUAUCUCAUGGAAUCAUUUUCAAUGAGGAAGAUCAUUACUUAAAAUUUUGUAAAAUAUUAAACUAUAUACUUCCCAUUAUAAUUUUAUGAUCUAACUAUGUUGUUUGCAAAUAACUUCCUAUCUGUAAUCAGUUCCACGUUAUUCUCAAAUUGAUCGAAAUUGGCAUAUAAGAUUGUGUUAACAGAUAAAUUUAUUGAAAAUCGAUAUGGGAGAAAGAAGCCUCUUAUCUUAUAUUCCUAUAUUUCAGAAAGAAUUAGUCAGAACCUAUCUACAGUUGCUCUGUGAUCAUAUUUACUGUGAAUACUAAAUUGAUCAAGCAUCGACCUGCAUAAACAUACAAUUCUCCUGUAUUUCCAUCGCGAAGAUCAUUGCAUAAAAAGCGGUCAAUUUAUAAACAAUCUAUAUCUCCUAUUAUAUCCUUUGACCGGAUUAUUUAGCUUGAUUGCCUUCCUCAUUUACAUCAUUUCCACAUAAUUCAGCAAUUAAAUCAACAGUUGCAUCUAAUUGUGUGUAAGAAGUAUGGUUUCAUGAAGAACUUGAAUGUCUUUUCCCUAUAUAUGGUUUCUCUCUGACAUUUGUUUCUUUAGAGGGAAUUGAUCUUUUCCCUAUAUAUGGUUUCAUGAAGUACUUGAAUGACUAUCUCUAUAUAUUUGUUUCUUUAGAGGGCAUGCCGAAAACACUUUAAAAAGGUAAAAACAAUAUACUAAUUUUCUUUUGGACUGUUCUGUAGAAGGAUAUGUUCAUUAAACCUUUUCUGACAGUCAAUUUAUUUCUGGUGGUUUCUAUUUCUUCAUGUUUUAUCUCUUAGGUAGAAAAAACAUUGUCACAUGAAGACCUAAUAUGUGAAACCCGCCAUAAAAUUAUUGAUGACAUAAUAUGCAAAUUGUAGGACAUCACGUGUUUAUGUAUACCAUUUCAAGAUAAUGUCACUUUCUGUAAUCUAUUGUGGAUGAUUUGGGUAGAGAUUUGAUAAGUAGGGGCAUGCUGUCUUGCAACAGACAGAGAAGUCAUUCUAUCACUCAUAAAUACAUGUAGCUAUUGAAAGAGAAAAUCAUGUGCUAUUGUCUAAUGCCUCUUCACCACUUGAAGUACAAAUUGAUGAACUGUUCAAUAUUUUCUAUUUUUGUAUAUAAAUACAUAACAGGGCAUUAAUAAAUUCAUCACAAACUCAAUCAUCUAAAGUCUUCACCAUACAAGUUCUUUUCUUUCUCCAUAUUCUCUAAACAAUCUAGGAGUAUUAUGGGUAUUCAUAUGCCUCGUGUUACUAAUCUCAAGAAAAUCUUUAACCCGUCUUCUUUCUUGAUAAGUCCUGAUUAUACCUUAACAGUUCCAAAGGGGUGCUUGGCAGUAUAUAUCUUGGAGAAGCAAAGAAGAAGAAGACUUAUCAAGAAAGAAGACGGGUUAAAGAAGAAGGGGGAUUGUCUAUUACAUUACAAACUAGAACCUUCCAAAAUUGUUAGUACCAGAUAAUCUGAAGUGAGGUUAAUGAAUGUUUUCUCUACAUGGAAAAGCCACUUCAGACUAUAAAGACAUGGAAUGUAUAAAGCUACUUAUAUAUAUUUCAAAUAAUAAGUACUUAUAAAGACAUAUAAUGACUACAUACUGAUUGCAGAGAUCAAAUCCAUGUAGAAAUUAAUGUCUCAAAUAUAAAAUUUCUACCUACAAGAUUUAUAUGAGAGUCAUAUAUAAAAUUUCUGGACUAGUUUACAAAAUUUGUACACUAUCUAACAACAUAUAUAUAAACUCUCAUAAUCUGUUCAAAAGAUUAAUGAAGGUGUCUUCUUUGCAUGGUAUUGUGAGGCCACCUUCUGGAUGACUAAACCCAAAUUCUUCCUCAGCUUGACUUAACAGGUCUUGGAAUGUAGGCUCGUUUAAGUAAGAUAUCGGAACUACAAAUCUUCUUCUUUGGUUCUCCCCAACAUACACUGCAACGCAUCCCUUAGGGACAUUUGUACUACGAUCAAGAUUUUUUAAGGAAAAUUGCCUGUUGAGAAUUUGCUUGAGAUUAGUGAUAUGAGGCACACGAAUACCCAUGAUGCUCAAGAAAAUUAAAACUUUAAUCUCGGGGGAUAUGGAAAAUACAAGAACUUCUGCAGACUGAAGGCUUAGACCCUCAAUUACACUUGAUUUUGUGAUGAAUUUGGUUGAGGAGAUCACAGUUUUUAUAUAGAAAUAACAAGUAAUGAGCGGUUGAUCAAGAUGCAGAUUGAGUGGCACAGAUGCAUUAGGCAAUAGCACAUGCUAUUCUCUUUCAAAGGCCACACAUAUUUAAGAGUUCAUACGAAGGUCAUCGACAUACAUAUAAUGGCUGGAAACUGUCAAGUUCGACAGGCAAGGAAUCAAAUCUUAUGCUUUUAUUGGUCAAUAGUCUUAGGUGGGAUAGGCAAGUUUGGUGCUCAUGUGACGGUGUUUUCUUGACCUAUCUCAGCUGCAUCUUUUGUUGAAUUGAUGUCUGUUUAAAACAGAUUAUCAGAUUAAAUGGAUCCAACAUCUUUGACAUGGUCUAGCUGCAUUAUGUCAAAAUAUCAACUUGGAGCUGGAAGAAACAGUGUCACAUGAACACUUAUGAUUUCAACCCCACCAUAAUCAGUGCAGACAAACCCAAAACAUAAAAUCCAUAUCAUGCCACCCACCUAUUGAAAGAGAAAAUCAUGUGCUAGUGUCUAUACUCACCGCUCAAUGUAGAAUUUGAUGAGAUGUUCUACACAACUUCCUGAUUGUUCUGUAUAAACACAUAACUAAGCGAUACUAACAUUCAUCACAAACUCACUGGUCUAAAGUCUUUCGUAUAACUAUACAAGUCCUAGUGUUUCUUCAGUUUUCUGAACUCUUCUCUGAAAGAGCUAUAGUGUCAUGGGUAUCCGUAUGCCUCGUAUUACUAGUCUCAAACAAAUCCUUAAUAGCUCAUCUUUCUUAUUAAAUCCUGAUCUUACUUCAACGAUUCCAAAGGGGUGCUUGGCAGUUCAUAUUGGGGAGAGGCAAAGAAGCAGAUUUGUGGUUCCUAUUUCAUACCUGAAUGAGGCUGCCUUUCAAAAAUUGUUAAUUCAAGCCGAGGAAGAAUUUGGAUUCAAUCAUCCGGAAGGAUGUCUUACAAUUCCUUGCUCAGUGGACACAUUCAAUGAAAUCACUUCGCGCCUGAACAAUUUAUAUACUUUUAGAUAGUAUAGCACCUGCGAUCUCAUUUAUUGAGUUUCCGAGUGUAAACUGUAGAAAAUACAGAUUUUGUAGGGGAAGCAUAAUUUGAUACUCAAACUUUUUGAACAUAUUGACCAUCACUUAUGCUCAUGGAUACUUGUUAUUUUCUAUAAAGCAUAUCACUAAGUGUUUGCCGAUAAACUUUAUGCCUAAACCAAAUCGAUCACCAACAAAAUUACAGUUUCUGUAGUUACUCUUUGAUACCUAAAUCUUGCAAUCGUCUUCAAAAAUCAGCACUGACACAAGGUGAGUUUGCUAGCUCAAAAAUCAAAAUUAAAAUUUAUAAACAGUUCUAAAUAAUUUAUAAAUAUAUCUGUUGCAUAGUCAGUGGCGAAACCAGAACUAAAAUUUUGGGGUGGCUCAAAUAUUUAAUUAUAUUCCUAAGCAGUUUUAUUACUGAUGGUUACAUCAAAAAGAGAUGAAAUAUUGUUAUAUGAUGUGAACCCCACCGUGUAUCUCCCAGUCGAGUUAAACAAGUUUCUUGAUUCUUCCUUUUUUCCUGAAAAUAUCUCACCACUUUCUAAACAUUUCAGUGUAAGUUCAUAAUGUCUUUGUCGAAACAUAUCCUUUCUCUUACACGAAGCAUCAACCAAUUCACAAUACGACAGAGAUGAUCAAAAAAAUCACUUACUACAUGAGAACAUUUAGCCAUAGCAACAACUAAUAACCGCAAUUUCAUGACUCUCCUGGUGAUAUAAAGUAAUGCAAUAUCAUGACUCUCGUGGUAAUUUAAAGUAAUUCGAGAGUACCAAAUUAGACUACCACAAUUCAAUAAUUCAGAACUAACAAAAAAGUCUAAAUUAUCAUUCUAAUUUAAAGACUUCCCAUAUCAAUUCAGGAUCAAACGACAACAUAUGUGUUAGAGCACCUUUUAAACUCUAGUUCUCGGGCAUCCCCCAAUUAAUAAUUUCAUUAUACAAAAUCAUGAAAGAUACAAAAAUAUUAAAGACUAACAAUUUAUCCAAGAAUCAAGAAACUCAAUCACAAAAAGUGAUAAAAAUUUCUGGCAAAAAAAAAGUGAUAAAAAUAAAAGGAUAAUCAAUCAAUUUAAUCAAUUUAUCAUACCUUGAAAUUUGGAAAACAAGUGAGAAGUCAGAGUAUUGAGUAAACACGGAAACACUGAGUGAAUCUAGAGAGGGAAAUAGAAGGAUAACGUUAGGUGUACUUUAUUCUGACAUUUUAAAAAAUUAUGUUGACAUCUAUAAUUCAGCAGAAGCUAAAAAAUAUAUACACCGUCAGUGGCGGUGCCACACUGGGGCCUGGGGGGACACGUGCCCCCACAAGUUUCCCUUUGUGGGCCUCACAUAUUAGUAAUACUCGUAUGUUUUGUCAUUUGUGUCCCGAAUAAAUUACUAAAUCUCUCUAUGAAAUCAUCUCAGCUUCAGUCUAUUUCAGUUCUAGCAGUAGUUUAAGCAUGACCAUGCUUCUUUAGGAUUUGUAUGUCUAAAUCAGUUGUGGUAGCAAGUUGGUUUUUAAAUAAGAUUUGAAGGGUAGGAUGUUUAGCCAGGUCUGUUUGUUCCAGUUUGUAGUAGUUGCUGUUCGAAUUUGUAAAACUAAUUAAGUAAUAUAUUUUGAGUAUAAUCGAAAAAUUAAAAGUGUCCCCCUUGAAUAUUUUGUCUGGCUCCGCCACUGUACACCGUUCUUAAUUUCGAGGUCAUGGGUAGCUUUAGCAUCCUCUAGCCCCCUCUGGUUUCCGCCACUGUGCAUAGUUUAAUCUAUAUAAGUCAUUUAUUAUCGUGAAUACUCCUUUUGCUCCUGAGCCUAUGAGAUAUUAGCGAUGCGCGUAUAAGUAGAAGUUUACAUGAAAGUCUCAGUCAGAAUUACAAUUCCUAGACUAGUUCACAAAAUUUGUACACUAUCUAACAACAUAUAACUAUGUACAUAUCUGUAGACAUAUAUAAACUUUCAAAAUCUGUUCAACAGAUCAACGAAAGUGUCUUCUUUGCAUGGAUAUGUGAGGCCACCUUCUGGAUGACUAAACCCGAAUUUUUCCACAACCUAAGAGCAUCUCCAACGCGUUGGCUAUAAUCGAUGGCUAAACGGGACCUGUAAGACAUUAUGUAAAAUUUGUUGAACUUGUAAGACAUUUUGCUUCAAUGGUAUUGGCUAUAUUGGAUGGCUAUAAUUUAAAAAUAGUAUGUUAUUAAUAUUUUUUUUUGCCAGUGUAUGUUAUUAAUAUUUUAGAUUGUUAAAAUAGAAUAUAUCAGUAUGGUAAUAAAUGAUGUGCAAUCUUUCUAUAGAUUUCUUACAGACCUGUAGAGGUUCGACAAAUUUAGCCAUCCGUAGGAGGUUGGCUAAAAUUAUAGACAACAGCUGGGUAUGGUUGGAGUAUGUAUUUUUCGAGCUGUUGGCUAAUUUUUUUUAUUUUUAGUAUGCCAACUCAGCUAAGGGCUUUCAAUGGUUGGAGAUGCUCUAACUCAACAUAAAUUGCCAUAAGAGCAUCUCCAAUGGUGUUGGCUACAAUCGUUGGCUAAAUUGAACCUAUAAGACAUUAUGUAAAAUUUGCUGAACUUGUAAGACAUUGUGCCUCAAUGGUAUUGGCUAUAUUGGUUGGGUAUAGUUUAAAAAUAGUAUGUUAUUAAUAUUUAGAUUGUUAUAAAUAGAAUAUAUCAGUUUAAUAUGGUAAUAAUUUAUAUGUAAUGAGGAAAAUAAAUUGCGGGAAAUGACGUGGAAUUCACUACAGAUCUGGAGUGGUUCGACAAAUAUAGCCAUCCAUAGGGGGAUGGCUAUAAUUAUAGACAAGGGCUCACCAUGGUUGGAGUGCUCUUUUUUGUGAACAUUGGCUAUAGUUUUUAAUUAUAGUAAGCCACCUAGAUUUUUACGUAAAGGCUUCUCCUGGUUGGAGAUGCUCUAAGCCUUUUAAUUAACCCCUUAUUCUCGUAUAAUCAAGGGUGAAUAUAAGCAGCCAGUUAAUAUUAUUUAAUAAAAUUUCAGUUCAUUACUAUUAAAUUGAUGUUAAUUUGAUCAUAAAUAAUAAUUUAAAAUUAUAUAGUAAUCGUUUGUUAACACAGGUUUAAAAUUAGUAUUACUUAAAACAUAGUAUAUAAAUUGGAGAAGGGCCUGUUACGAUAUCAACGGCCCAACAUAGACACCCUUUUAUCCAAUCGUUUUUAUAUGGAUAUAUAAAAAUAUUUAAGGGUUUUAUAUCAAAUUGCUUAUUCAACUCUGCAAAAUAUAUCACGUAGAUAUUUGAUCUCCACGACUACUCAUUUAAACCACAACAAUAAUAUAUAUAAUUUUGUUGAUUUUUUUCCCAUACCCAAUAUUUAGCAAUAUAUGGUUGGUUUGUACACAGGGAUGUAUGCACACUGGGGCAGUGGGGGUACUUGCCCCCAGUGAGCUGCAUAGUAUUUAGUAACUUAUAGUAUACAUAUUUCACAAAUUGAGGACUUGCCCUCAUGGUUCAAACAUGGGAUUUUGGUGGAAUAAGCCAUAGUUCGACUCCUGGCAACAACAGUUUCCUCUUUUAGGCCUUCUCAUUUUUAAGCCUCUCCUGCCUUCCCCUCUUUUUUAUCUAUAUUAAUGUUUAGCAGUAUUAUUGCCUCUCCUGCCUUCCCCUCUUUUUUAUCUAUAUUAAUGUUUAGCAGUAUUAUUGCCUCUCCUGCCUUCCCCUCUUUUUUAUCUAUAUUAAUGUUUAGCAGUAUUAUUGCCUCUCCUGCCUUCCCCUCUUUUUUAUCUAUAUUAAUGUUUAGCAGUAUUAUUACUACUCAUAUUUAUUAUUAUAUUUAUAUUUUGAUUUGUAUUAUUUUAGUAGUUAUAGUAGCUCUGAAAUUAUAAAUAUCAUGUAAAAUUUUCCACGGUUUACACGGUUUUUAACCUAGGGCGGAGCGGUUGCAGUUCGAAUUUUUCACUAAGCUGCCUAUGCAGUUUAGAAAAAAACCACCGCGAUAGUUUUACUUGAACAAGUAGCUAGCUUUAUCUUUAUAUUUUUCAUCCUAGUUGAAGUUACAUUUGAGAUAGUAAGAGAAGCUUGAGUUGGAAUAUAAGUGUUUUCUUUGAUUGCAUUAUUAUGUUAACAGAAUUUCGUUACCACAUCAGUAAUUUCGUUAUCACAUCAACAUUGUUGUCCAAAAAUUUUAAAAUAAUUAACGAAAUGAUAUAUAAUAGUAUUUUAGUGGUUUAAAUGAGUCGUCGUGAAGAUUGAAUAGCUACAUGAUAUAUUUUGUUUAAUUCGGUGAGCAAUUUGAUAUAAAACCCGAAUAUUUAAUACAGCACACUCGUAGAAGCCAUCAAGUCCCUCCUAGAGUCCUAGGUUUAACAAAACAAAUUUGCCUACAAAAUCCGUUCUCUUUAACCCCUUAUUCUCAUAUUGAAUAAGUGAAGAACAGUAAGAAAUUUGACAAGCAUAAAAGGUGAAGAAUCAAGAGAAAAGCUGAUGGGUUCUAACGGGAACAAAAGAGGAAGCAAAAGAAAAGCAGGGAGACCCAAAAAUAAGAUGAAAAGAAUUGAUGAUUUGGGUAAAAAAAGUGAGGAGAUUGUGAGAGACAGUGUGGAUCAAAGGACUGUUCUUGAUUUGGAUGCCAUUGUUAGAGAUUAUAUCAGCAGAACCCGUNNNNNNNNNNNNNNNNNNNNNNNNNNNNNNNNNNNNNNNNNNNNNNNNNNNNNNNNNNNNNNNNNNNNNNNNNNNNNNNNNNNNNNNNNNNNNNNNNNNNNNNNNNNNNNNNNNNNNNNNNNNNNNNNNNNNNNNNNNNNNNNNNNNNNNNNNNNNNNNNNNNNNNNNNNNNNNNNNNNNNNNNNNNNNNNNNNNNNNNNNNNNNNNNNNNNNNNNNNNNNNNNNNNNNNNNNNNNNNNNNNNNNNNNNNNNNNNNNNNNNNNNNNNNNNNNNNNNNNNNNNNNNNNNNNNNNNNNNNNNNNNNNNNNNNNNNNNNNNNNNNNNNNNNNNNNNNNNNNNNNNNNNNNNNNNNNNNNNNNNNNNNNNNNNNNNNNNNNNNNNNNNNNNNNNNNNNNNNNNNNNNNNNNNNNNNNNNNNNNNNNNNNNNNNNNNNNNNNNNNNNNNNNNNNNNNNNNNNNNNNNNNNNNNNNNNNNNNNNNNNNNNNNNNNNNNNNNNNNNNNNNNNNNNNNNNNNNNNNNNNNNNNNNNNNNNNNNNNNNNNNNNNNNNNNNNNNNNNNNNNNNNNNNNNNNNNNNNNNNNNNNNNNNNNNNNNNNNNNNNNNNNNNNNNNNNNNNNNNNNNNNNNNNNNNNNNNNNNNNNNNNNNNNNNNNNNNNNNNNNNNNNNNNNNNNNNNNNNNNNNNNNNNNNNNNNNNNNNNNNNNNNNNNNNNNNNNNNNNNNNNNNNNNNNNNNNNNNNNNNNNNNNNNNNNNNNNNNNNNNNNNNNNNNNNNNNNNNNNNNNNNNNNNNNNNNNNNNNNNNNNNNNNNNNNNNNNNNNNNNNNNNNNNNNNNNNNNNNNNNNNNNNNNNNNNNNNNNNNNNNNNNNNNNNNNNNNNNNNNNNNNNNNNNNNNNNNNNNNNNNNNNNNNNNNNNNNAAAGGUGAAGAAUCAAGAGAAAAGCUGAUGGGUUCUAACGGGAACAAAAGAGGAAGCAAAAGAAAAGCAGGGAGACCCAAAAAUAAGAUGAAAAGAAUUGAUGAUUUGGGUAAAAAAAGUGAGGAGAUUGUGAGAGACAGUGUGGAUCAAAGGACUGUUCUUGAUUUGGAUGCCAUUGUUAGAGAUUAUAUCAGCAGAACCCGUGAAUUUCGCAAAGAUGGUCAAAAAAUUUGUUCUGUCAGUAGCAGUGAUGAUGAUGAACAUCGGAAUCAUGCAAAUAAAAUCAAGGACAAGGAGAUCAUUGUUGGUGGUAGUGGUAAAGAUGAUGAUAAUGAUGAUCAGAAUCAUAAAAAUAAAAAUAAGGACAAUGAGAUUGUUAUUAGUAGUGAUGAUGAUGAUGAUGAUGUUGCUGAGGAUGAUGAUCAGAAGAUUAGAGAUGAACAUGAUGUGGAGAAGGAGGCUACGGCCCCCCAAUGUGAAGAGCACGACGGAUAUCCUCCGGAAGAAGCUCUGUCUUCAGCAAAGAGACGCAAGAAUGGUGCAAUGGGAAAAGAUGAUGAAAAGAUUCAGAAGAUAGGGAGUAGGGGUUGGAACAAUAAUGAAAAAGGUAAAGAUGGCCAGACAAGUCGAGUUUGUAAGUCUGCUGGUUCUAAGCAAAAGGGUGGCGUAAUGACAGAUGAGAAUGUAUGUUUGCCUCCCUGUUCUGUUAUAUAACUCAUUAACAGCUGCAUUACAAUUCAUUGGGAUUUGUUCGCCUGCCACGUGACCGGUUUCAGAUGUCUUCAUCUCAUUAAUUGCUGCUAACAAGGCAAACCGAGAUCCGGUGCCCGUAAUGUAAUAUGUCUAGUCUCCUAGUGCCCUUUGGGUUAUAUGCUCGGCCUCCCUGUUCUGUUAUAUAACUCAUUAUUAUAUGCUUGGCAUUAUGUUUCUAUUAAUACCUGAGAAGCAUGAGAAAGGGUGUGCAGAAAUUAGGCAGCCAAUAACAAAACUAACUAAAGCAUGCAAACUGAAUCAGAUACAUUAUAUACGGAUCUAAGACAUAAGAAUUUACGUCAAACCGUUAAUUUUUGUUACACAAAUCUCAAAAAAAGAAAAAAAAUUGGUUGAGACUAAGACUUUUGAGUACCUAAUACAGGAGUGCGUAUGGAGGGACAGGGAUUUGUUAGGUUACAGAAUAAUCCAUGUUUCUGCGUUAAUACUUUAUGUGUAUUGCUUAUAAGUUUUACAAAUUUAUUUGGGUGUUUAUGCUAACAGGGAAAUCCGAUAUCAACUAUGUGUCACCAGUGCCAGAGGAAUGACAAAGGUAGGGUCAUGGUAUGCAAUAACUGUAAUAAGCCUCAACAUAAAUUGCCAUAAGCCUUUUGGAAUAACAAGCACUGUUGAACUAGCAAGAUAUCUGAACACAGAAGACUGAUGGAUACUUUUCUUAACAUGAGAAAUAACAGUCAUACGGUUUUCAUGGUGUAAUAACAAAUCGACAAGAAUGAUUAUAGAAUGAAAGUAGAGGUGGAUGAAAAUUUUGAUGGUUCGGCUAAUUAGUUUAUGUUGACUUGGUUGCAGUUCCCUUUCUCUGCGAUUAUAUAUAGAGGGGAAAUGAAAUAUCAUUUAAAUUAUGAAAUAUCCAGACGCCUUUCUCUUUGGCUCACCACAUAGAUUAACAACUCAGAGGCAAUAUCUGUUUCUGCUAGGAAACAUCUCAUAUUCCCAAUUGAUUGCUUAUGUGCACCACCUCAAAAAUUAAUACUUCUGCAUCAGAUAAAGAUUUCAAGAGAGGGGUUGCUGGUGCUCCAUACAAUAUUUGCGGAAAUCAAUAGACGCAGACCUCCAAGAUUUACAAACACCGCUAAAUGACAGGUAGUCCACGAUACUUAAUUUUACCAAAAUUGACACCAGAAGUUCAACAGGAAGAAUGCCCCAUGCUCCUCAAACUGUCACCCGAUCUCCUGCAUAUCCUUUUCCGUUCUCUUCCUUGUUUUACUGGUCGUGGAGCAUUCCUGUUAACAAAGAGGGAAACGAAGAACUCACCACAAAGCUAGAUUGAUCAUGCACAGUCAAAUGAAUUUUAUUUAGAAAGAGUCAGUGGUUUGUUGAAAACAGAAUGCAUUACUUUUACAGAUGUUUCUUAAGGACAGAUUCAUCCUUUGCAAGAUUUAAAAGAACUUGAUUUAACACAUAGAGGAGAAACUAGAGUUGGAUUGUUCCUUUUGCCAGUACAGUAAAAAGUUCUGCAGCUAGACAUUAGAAGAUAAUAAAGCUUACUGGAAGCUAAUUCACUAAAGGUUCACAUAUUAAAAUGAAAAUCAGUGCAUAGUUUAAUCAGAACUGGAUUAAGAGUGUGCAAACUUAACAUCUUUCCGAUAUGAGAACUUCAACGUCCCCCAGUAAGAAUGCAAUCAUCCUAAUGAACCAUAACUAGAUUUAUAAGAGGUAGUUUGGUUAACAUGUAAAUCUCCAGGAAUUUAAAGUUCCUAGCAAAUUGUAAGAUUUUUUUGUUGACCGCUAUAUGGAAAGUGGAACCUCCUAGGAAAUUGGAAUUUCCACAUAAUGUAGAAACUUGCUUAUGUCACACACUGGUACUGCAAAUUCCUACACCACAACCAAACAUGUUUUUUAACUUCCCAGGAACUUGAUAAAGGAACUAGGAGGCCAGUUGGAGAAUUUAGAAUCAAGGUCCAACUGGCAUAUGAUACUUUUACGAUAUAGCAGUCUAGUUUACAAAGGCACAACUAUAUACGUAAUGCAUACUUCAAGAGAAAGUAGGGAACAUUUAGAUUAAAGUUUUAGUAGACAAUGAGUGAAGUAUAUUCCAUGUUUAUAGUAGAAUUCCUUAGGGUCCAAUGGUGUUCUUUGUAUUGUUCUAUGUUUAUAUCCAUACUCUUGAGAGGCAAUCUCUCUAUCUCGGUGCUUAGUUGCUCUCUAUGCAUUUUAUUAAAUUUUUGGUUGUUGAAACGAUAAAUUUGUAUACGACAUAGUGGUGAUUAUACAAUACAGGCCAAGUAAUUUUUUGAACUCGUCUGAACGACGAGAAUGUAUGGGGUUUGCGGUUGUUAAGGAGAACUAGGGAUAUGGCUUACAUGCAUUUUGUCCAGGUAAGGUGUUGCUUGUAAUCAUACAUCUCACUACACGUACACCAUUUUUUGCUUACCUUGGAAUCCCUAGAUUUUUUUUUUUGGACCAGAUCUCUGUGAAAUAAGAAUCACCAACUGUGUGAUCUAGCAUUUACAACCAUACCUGCGACUUGCAUUCUAGAUUUGAAAUGAGAUUUGCUUGAAGUACUUAGACUCUAUGUCAUAUAUUACUAGAAAUACAAAUUAUUUUAUGUUAUUUCUCCAGACAUGUAGCACUCCCGACCAACCUCAAUGGUGUUGGAAUAUUGGGAUGAUUCUUAGAAGCUGUAAAUUUACAUUUGGUUAUAGAAGUGGAGAAGCAAUGCUCAUUGCCCAUUUAAAAUAAGUAUACAAGAUAAACAAGAGCUUAGAAGCUUGCAGAGAAAGAGAAAAAAGUAGAAGAAAUCUCUGUAAAAAAUAAAUUGUGGGGGGACUUGCAUGUAUUACUACAAGAAAACGCGAAUCUCUUAACCAAAUUUACCAACGGAAAUUCUGUUGGCAAAUUACCAACCGAAAAUCUGUUGGCAUAUUGGACAUCUCACUGAAGUCAACACACCAAGUUUCCGUUGCAAAAUUACCAAAGGAAUGUAUAUUUCCGUUGGUAACAGUUUACCAACCAUGAUAUUACUAACAGUUUAUUCCGUUGACACUUCGUUUUGCCAACGGGAAUUUGUGUUUACCCAAUGGAAAAUUCCGUUGGGGAAUUCGCGUUUUUUUGUAGUGUGGAAACUGCAGAAGCAUGGAAGUGAUCUGAUAAAGGUACGAGAAUAAUGAGUCUUUAAAAGUAAUGAGGCUUUAAAAGAUGUGUUUAUUGAUUAUAAGUAAAAAUUUAUUUAUAAAUGAAAAUUAACUUUUAAUUUAUGUGUUUUGAUUUUUUUUAUAUUUAUAGGGUAUAAAAUUUUAUAAUAUAAUAACAAAUUAUCUUUUAAAGUGGUCCUUUACUUCUUUGUAAAAUGAAAUUUCAAAAAUAAAAAUAAGUCACUGAAAAAGUUAAGAUUUUUUAGCUUCUCAUAUUCUGCCUUUUAAGUCAGAAGUUCAUACACAAACAAUACGAAUGAGUUACUUCUGACUUAUAAGUCUAAAUGAUGGGCUUUUAAGCCGUCCCAAUCUUUUUGUCCGCCUUAUUAAGAAAAUCAAGGGAUAAUUAAUUCAAACGUCCCUGAACUAUAGUCUGUUUAUUGUCUAGGUCCCUAUCCUAUUUUUCUCAAUAUUGCGAUCCUUAAACUUUCAAACUUUUCUGAUUCGCAUCCUUCCGUUAAAAAUCAACUAACAGACGUUAGUCAAUGCUUAUGUGGCAGAUAAAAAAAUAAAAUUAAAAAAUUAUCAAGUACCAGUUUUAGUAGCAUAAGUACACAUGUCAUUAACAAUAUCUUCACUCCACAAUAAUUGACAAUUAUCAAGUGACUCACCCUCCUUGUGCCAAUAUAUCUUAUAGUUUUUAUACCCAAGCCUCUUCUCUACCAAAUCUUUACAUGAAUCAAGACAAAUUGUAUCUAUGCUCUGGCAGUAAACUAGUUCUACUUUACCUUCUUCAUAGAGCCGUAUGCGAUUUUUGUAAGUAAACACUCCCCCAUGAUAAAUUCGAAUAUUGACAUAGUAAAUCCCCAUCCCUGCACAUAUACACACAAUCAAUAAGAGAAAAGUAUAUACAUGUAUAUAUAUGAUCUUGUAUGUCUGUACAUACCUCAUAAGAUAGAAGGAUCGCUGUCAAUCGAACCCUAGUUUAGUGAAUAAAGAAAAUCCCCAAUCGCUCUAGAACCCUAAUUUUCGUGUGUUAGUACGUUGCUUAGCGAAUGUUAGGUGCGUGGAUGUUUUAUUUUUGGACUUAAAUUGACUUAACUUAAAUUGGUUUUAAAAGAUGACAGCUCAGAUUUUAAUUUUUUAAUUUUAUUUUUUGAUCUGCCACGUAAGCAUUGACUAACGUCUGUUAGUUGAUUUUUAACGGAAGGAUGCGAAUCAGAAAAGUUUGAAAGUUUAAGGAUCGCAAUAUUGAGAAAAAUAGGAUAUGGACCUAGACAAUAAACAGCCUAUAGUUCAGGGACAUUUGAAUUAAUUAUCCCGAAAAUCAAUCAAUUAGACUGUAUAGUAGACUAUGCAUGUGAAUCUAGAGCACUUGUGAAGAGAUACAAUCUGCAUUAGAAAGUCUGGAUAUGGUUGUAAAGUUGAACAAUAUUAGUUUGGCCAGAAAGAACUCAUUUGAGCAAGAGGAGUUUGUUUGAAAGGACAGACUUAGAGGCCCUUCAUUCAGAAAUUACAAAAAAAAUUUUUUCAAAUGAGAAAGAUCAGCUUCUUGAAAAUUAACUUAUCUAUUCGUCACCACAAUAAUUCAGAAACGAAGUAAUCAUCUAUAAAUUAAACUUUGAUUAACAAAAAUAUAUAACUAUAUUAAACUGCAGAAACUUCAGCUUCAAAUUGGGAAUUUUUUACCUAAGAAUUUGUCUUAUACAUGAACAAACUUGGUGUCAAUAAGAAAUAAAGAAAAUGACUUUUGAAAUCUGGUGCCUCUAAUGCAAACAUUACAGCAUCAAUGUAUAAAAGUUUUCAUAAUAGAACUAGUACAAAGUUGCAUUAUGAAAGAUGAAGAUACAAACUAGAGACUUAAUGAGAAAAACUGAUAUCAGAUUUAGAAGUGAUCAUGNAAAAAAAUAAAAUUAAAAAAUUAUCAAGUACCAGUUUUAGUAGCAUAAGUACACAUGUCAUUAACAAUAUCUUCACUCUACAAUAAUUGACAAUUAUCAAUUGACUCACCCUCCUUGUACCAAUAUAUCUUAUAGUUUUUAUACCCAAGCCUCUUCUCUACCAAAUCUUUACAUGAAUCAAGACAAAUUGUAUCUAUGCUCUGGCAGUAAACUAGUUCUACUUUACCUUCUUCAUAGAGCCGUAUGCGAUUUUUGUAAGUAAACACUCCCCCAUGAUAAAUUCGAAUAUUGACAUAGUAAAUCCCCAUCCCUGCACAUAUACACACAAUCAAUAAGAGAAAAGUAUAUACAUGUAUAUAUAUGAUCUUGUAUGUCUGUACAUACCUCAUAAGAUAGAAGGAUCGCUGUCAAUCGAACCCUAGUUUAGUGAAUAAAGAAAAUCCCCAAUCGCUCUAGAACCCUAAUUUUCGUGUGUUAGUACGUUGCUUAGCGAAUGUUAGGUGCGUGGAUGUUUUAUUUUUGGACUUAAAUUGACUUAACUUAAAUUGGUUUUAAAAGAUGACAGCUCAGAUUUUAAUUUUUUAAUUUUAUUUUUUGAUCUGCCACGUAAGCAUUGACUAACGUCUGUUAGUUGAUUUUUAACGGAAGGAUGCGAAUCAGAAAAGUUUGAAAGUUUAAGGAUCGCAAUAUUGAGAAAAAUAGGAUAUGGACCUAGACAAUAAACAGCCUAUAGUUCAGGGACAUUUGAAUUAAUUAUCCCGAAAAUCAAUCAAUUAGACUGUAUAGUAGACUAUGCAUGUGAAUCUAGAGCACUUGUGAAGAGAUACAAUCUGCAUUAGAAAGUCUGGAUAUGGUUGUAAAGUUGAACAAUAUUAGUUUGGCCAGAAAGAACUCAUUUGAGCAAGAGGAGUUUGUUUGAAAGGACAGACUUAGAGGCCCUUCAUUCAGAAAUUACAAAAAAAAUUUUUUCAAAUGAGAAAGAUCAGCUUCUUGAAAAUUAACUUAUCUAUUCGUCACCACAAUAAUUCAGAAACGAAGUAAUCAUCUAUAAAUUAAACUUUGAUUAACAAAAAUAUAUAACUAUAUUAAACUGCAGAAACUUCAGCUUCAAAUUGGGAAUUUUUUACCUAAGAAUUUGUCUUAUACAUGAACAAACUUGGUGUCAAUAAGAAAUAAAGAAAAUGACUUUUGAAAUCUGGUGCCUCUAAUGCAAACAUUACAGCAUCAAUGUAUAAAAGUUUUCAUAAUAGAACUAGUACAAAGUUGCAUUAUGAAAGAUGAAGAUACAAACUAGAGACUUAAUGAGAAAAACUGAUAUCAGAUUUAGAAGUGAUCAUGCGCCAAACUCAUCACUGACACAACUGAUGGACCAAAUUUCACUAGGAAAAUACCAAAAACAAAGUGACGAAUGACCAUCCCAAACAACCGGAGUUGUUCCUAGCUGAUUUCCAUUCAGGUUAAAGAAAGAACAUGUGUUGAAAACUCCUAAGUGAAGAACACAGACACAGUUACCUGCUCCCCAACCAGUUGUAUCGACGACAGCAGAACUGAACCAACUAAAAAAUAAAGAUUUUGCACCCAAGUCAUGAAUCUGUUUUGCUCUAUCCAUUGUCUCAUGGUCAAUUUCGAAUAAUGCCAGAUGUCGGUCCACUGCAGGAUAAGGACAACAAUUGAAUACAGUCAUGUAUAGCUUAUUGUCUGAUGCCACCAACUUCAAAUACAUAUCAGAUGAAACCUGGAAAGGGAUGCUGAUUUUGGAGAGCUUUGGAACAGAACCUGCCUUCGGAUUAAAUUCUCCAAAACGUAAAUCUGAAGUCAAAACAAAGAUUUUGCCAUCAAAAAUCUUCACAUCUGCAAUCCUGGCUUCUGUGUCGGAUACAGCAUAUCUCUGCCAACUGCUGCCGCCACUUUUGGACAACAAUAUAUAAUUUUCUGUCAGAGAGAAAAGAACCAUGAAAGUUUCUGAAAGCCGAGUGGACUGAAAUAGGAGAGCAGAAAAUUCAAUGCAGUUUAUGCCACCCAUAUGUCCAGGAAGGACGGGAAAACGCAGCUCAUGUUUUGUAAUUAAAUUUACGAGCCAAAAGCCUAAGUUUCCGUCGGUUGUAAUCAGGUACCCACAUGACAAACCCAAUAAUUUCUUGCAAGGCAAAUCUGGCAGCAUUGUUUUGUAACUUUUCAUAUCGAACAUAUUGUACAAUACACAAGACUUUUUCGAAUACUUUGGCCGAACAACAACUAGGGGUUGCUGGCGCUCCAUACAGUAUUUGCGGAAAGCAAUAGAUGCAGACCUCCAAGAUUUACAAACACCGCUAAAUGACAGGUAGUCCACGAUACUCAACUUUACUAAAAUUGACACCAGAAGUUCAUUAGGAAGAAUGCCCCAUGCUCCCCAAACUGUGUCACCCGAUCUCCUGCAAGUCCUUUUCCGUUUUCUUCCUUCUUUGACUGUUCGUGGAGCAUUCCUGUUAACAAAUAGGGAAACGAAGAACUCACCACAAAGCUAGAUUGAGCAUGCCCAUUCAAAUGAAUUUUAUCUAGAAAGACUCAGUAUUUUUUGUUGAAAACAGAAUGCAUUACUUUUACAGAUGUUGCUUAAGGACAGAUUCAUCCUUUGCAAGAUUUAAAAGAACUUGAUUUAACAGAGAGAGGAGAAACUAGAGUAGGAUUGUUCCUUUUGCCGGCACAGUAAGAAGUUCUGCAGCUAGACAUUAGAAGAUAAUAAAGCUUACUGGAAGCUAAUUCACUGAAGGUGCACAUAUUAAAACGAAAAUCAGUGCAUAGUUUAUGUUAAGGCCACUAAAAUCUAAAAUUUUAAUCAGAACUGGAUUAAGAGUGUGCAUACUCAACAUCUUUCCGAAAUGAGAACUUCAACGCUCCCCAGAAACUUGCUUAUAUCACACCCCAGCACUGAAAAUUCCUACACCACAACUUCCCAGGAACUUGAUAAAGGAACUGGGAGGCCAGUUGGAAAAUUUAGAAUCAAGGUCCAACUGGCAUAUGAUACUUUUACGAUAGCAGUCUAGUUUAGGAGGGCACAAGUAUAUACGUAAUGCAUACUUCAAGAGAAAGUAGGGAACAUUUAGAUUAUAAUUUUAGUAGACAAAUUUUUCUAUAAAAAAUGAGUGAGGUAUAUUCCAUGUUUUUAGUAGAAUCUCUUAGGGAAAGUCCAUUGGUGUGCAAUAUCUUGUUCUAAAAUAGAACAAUGCUAUAGUUUGUUCAAUAUUUAGAACAAAAGAUAGAUGGAGCUAUAAUUGCUGAAGUAUAAAAUGAUGAAGAAAUGUAUAAGAAGGUACUUGAAAGUGCGGGGUCUUUGAAAGUUUGUCAUAUUUAUAUUCAAAAGUGGGAUGUAUUUGGAAGUUGUUUAAAUGUGAAACAAGAUUUGAAACCAACCAUUGGAAAAUCACUUUUUCAUGCUAAAUUAUAGCAAACUCCAUCUAUUUUAGCACAACCAAAUGACUUUAUUCACUUGAGAUUUAGCCAAGACUUUUUUCUCCCCCCUUCCAAGGGGUGCUUAUUCUUUAAUUUGCUGUAUACAUGCACUUUUUGGGACUAGAGAUUUAGCCACACUUUUGAUUGUUACUACGUAAGGCUUUGAUGCCCCAAACCAGGAACUCCAAAACUUCAAGACAAAAUUUAUAAUAUUUACAUAGAGCAAAUUCAGAACAUAUUUACCCGAAAUAGUCGAUUAUCAACCGCCCCGCAAAAAAAUCAACAAUCCGCCUCAGAACAUUAUCACAAAAUGCCUUUUCCAUUCCACCCAAGGAAGGCCUUUCAACCACUUCCAUUCUGCCUUCGUUGAAAAAAUGGGCUGAUUCUCUCAAGCUCUUGUUCUUCCUAAUAACCACAGAAUACAUAAUGGUCAGACUGGAAAUAUCUGGGUUUUCCUUGUGCUUCCUUCAGGCAUUUACUACUACUCUUUAAAAGUUUGUAGAAGGAAUUCAACUUAAAUAUGGAUAAGUACAAAAAAAAGGGGAUAUUCACAGAAAAGAUUUUACUGUCUCCAUCUUUUGACAGCAUGAAACCAGUUCUUUUUUCAGUCUUCAUUUUCUUUUUCGUUAGCAUCAUAAACAUAAAUUUUAAGCAUACGAUAUCCACUAAUUCUGAUUGAACGGCUACGCAGAAAUCCAAAAUGUCAAAAAAUUGGUACUUAUAAUAAACAAAUUAAGUAGGGCAUAUACUGAUGAAUGUCUAAGUUAUGUUACCUACCAAAAUCGCUUUACAACUUAAAUGGUGUUUUAUUGCUUCUUUACAUAUAUAUUCAGCACAAAAAGGUGGACAUGCUCCAAAUGCUGUCUAGUUCCUCAGGUGUUAUGUUUGUGACUGUCUACAGAGUAUCACAGUGACUAACAUAACUAAAGCAACAAUCAACACUGUGAAAUGCUAGUUGGAAGAAUAUUAGCUUGACUUGGGCAGCUACUAGUAAGCCCAAAAUACUUAUUUAAAUUGCAUACGUGAAAGCUUGGCAUGUUUCAUUCAUAAUUAAUUAAUUAUAAUGCUUCACAGACAUUAUAAUUCUUAAUAGAUAUGCGAUACAAUGACAUGUUAAGUAUGACUAGUGUAUUAAGGUUUAUGUUCUAUUUCACACUACCAUGAAAUAAAUUCGGGUUUACAUUCCAGCAAAGUAAUAGUCUAACAGAGGGAGACACAGAGAAGAAGAAGAGGAGUUAACCAAAUUGAUUUUUAUCCUACACAGUAUAUUUUAUUUAUAAGCAUGUCACACUAAUUUGUUCCAGAACAUUCAGUAAAUAUGUGAGAAUCCAUAUUAUGAUUGCCUUAAUAUUAACAAGUCUCAGAUCAUACACCGCAAUUUAUUGAUCUGAUCAAGUCAAGAUUUAGUUUCAAAUUAAGCUAGAUAUCAUAAAAACAAGAUAAUAUUGAUAUGUAUUGGAUUUAAACAGUAAAUUAAAGGAAACAAUCAAGUAAAACAGAUCAGAAAAUUAACAUUACCACACUAUCUGGCAGGUUUAAAAACUUAUUCAAUAUACUUAUUACAUUACAUGAAUAAAAUUAAAGUAUUGGAUUUCUAUUUAUCAAAUCAUUCAAGAGAAGGCUCUGGCUUCUACAGUUUCGCUUUAUCAAUUCCUUCCUACCGGUCCUCGGAUUAGACUAAAUUAAGCUCACAUCUACUUGUGAAGUUCAGCAAAUCAAAAAUUAACAUUACGCUAGUAAACAAAAUCUACAAUCAUCUAAAGGGAAGAUUUACUUGUUAAAAAGAUAAUGCGGGCACAAACUGAACAAAAUGGCAAUGGAACUCGCCAACUCACCUGAGAUUACCCUAGUCCGCCGCAAAUCGCCCUCCACUAGUGCUCUCAAACUUUCUUAAAUAAAAAGAGAGACCUGGUUUGACAUAGGAUAAUAUAUAUGGUGAGAUGGACGGUCAGGAUAAGGUGAUGGGUUGGUGAGAUUGGACGGUCAGGAUAAGGUGAUGGGUUGGUGAGAUUGCAUCAUAUGACGACACAUGUUAGUAUGGAUGUACACCACUAUGGAUCCUUUGAGGUGGGCCGGAUCGAGAUCACUACCCCUAAGGCCUAUUACAUUGACCAAUGACCGGAUAACGGUGAGGGACUAAUAUAUUUUAAAAAAUACUAUGAUCCAUAUAUUUACUUAAUCGCAGAUUCACUUUUAUUUUUAUCGAAUGAGUUCAUGUAUCUGAGCAAGUUGUGACCAUAUUGUUGUUUCCACGGAGCCAAUGGGGUCAAAUCUAAUAAUUCUUUGUCCAUUUUCCAUAAGGUUAAUGAUGCAUAAAUGUAAUUAGUGUGUAACACUAAAUACGUCGGUCACAACUUGCUCACAUACAUGAACUCAUUCGAUAAAUACAAAAGUGAAUCCGGAAUUAAGCUAAUAUAUGGAUCAUAGUAUUUUUCGAAAUUAUAUUAUUCUAUCAGCGUUAUCCGGUCCGGUCAUUGGUCAAGUAAUAGGCCUUGGGGGUAGUGAUCUCGAUCCGGCCCACCUCAAAUGAUCCAUAGUGGGGUACAUCUAUACUAACAUGGGUCGUCAUAUGGUGCAAAUCUCACCAACCCAUUUCCUUAUCCUGAUUGUCCACAUAAUCAUAUAUCUUAUCCUGUAUCAACCUAGGUCUCUUAUUUAUUUAAAAAAUAUUGAGAGCACUACAGGAGGGCGACUUCCCGCAGACUCGGGUAAUUUCAGGUGAGUUGGCGUGUUCCUUUGCCAUUUUUGUUCAUUUUUUGUCCUGUACUAUCUGACUAUCGAAUCAACAAGUAAAUCUUCCCUUUAGAGGAUUGUAGAAUUUGUUUACUAGAGUGAUAUUAAUUUUUGUUUUGUUAGACAUCACAACUAAAUAUCAGCGUAAUUUAGUCUAAUCCAGUACCAGUAGGAAGGUAUUGAUAAGAUGAAAUUAUAAGAAGCCUGGGCCUUCUCUUAAUGAUUUAAAUAGCACCUGAGCAUUAUCCAAGUACAAUGCUUAUCUUUCCAAAGCAACAUUCAUUAUGUUUAAACAUUCGUUUGGAACCGGUCACAUUUACAAAUUAAAAGUGGCUUAAUGUGCCGCAGGGCUCGCCAAAUGUUCAACAUUGGGUCUGUCAGCGCUAGGUGAUCAAAACUACCGAUGGUACAAAGCAAAUAUGUCCAUCCAUGGCCAAAGCAUGCUGUAUUUAAUUUUGCACCCAAAGUUUUAAAUUUUCGUAUUAUUGUUUCUUAAAACCUUGUCUUUCUAUACUGAUCUUCUGUAUUGAUGACCUAUUUGUUAUCGUUAUCAAAGAAGUUGAAAACCAGAAAGUAACCAAUACACAAGAACACUCCCAACAUGACAAUAAAAUAUGAUUUGUGUAGAUUUAGCGUGAAACAGCACACUGGAUUUAACAAAUAAAACCACUACUAUAAACUAAUUACAAGAAUCGCUCACACCUGUAUCCUUCUAGACCAUGCCCUCAUUCUCUGUUCUAGAUUAUCGCGUCCUUGCAUAACAUUUGCUUCUAGAGACCAAAACUCUCGAAUAUUACAAGUGAAUGUAUCCCAUCCAUUGAUUGGUCCGAAAGAUCCAGCAUAAUAAUUUACCAUGAACAACCACCGUACAUAAGCCUGUCAUCAAACACCAAACCAGACCUUGGUGAAAACCUUGUUCAAAAUUAGAUUGUCAGGAAAUUUGGGUGCAAGAUAGUAAAUUUGUCUACAAUAUUUGUAAGUUCCAAUAAGAUGAGAUGGAAAUGUAAAUAAAACACACGCACAAUGUAUAUAAAUAACAAACUUGACCAAAAAUGAUGAUCAAAAAACAUGAAAGAUUGAUGGGUUUAUACCAAAAAUACAAACCAUCUGAAAUUUGCAGCGCAAAAACAUGCAUCCCAACCCAUUGAUUAAAAGAUUCCACACAAAAGUCUCUUGCGUUAACAAACUUAAGGGCAAACCCAACUGGAUCCAAAAAUCCACAUUUGAGAAGAAUCAUCCCAAAUUCUCCUCCAGCGUGAUCUAGUGGAUCAAUGAAUAGUACUGGUUCAGUGAAUUUGUAUCACUACAUUCAAAUUUGGAUCACCUAAAUUUAUUAUAAAAUAAUGAUUUUGUUAAUAUUUCAAUAUCUUUCGGUUAUCGGAUUUAAAAUUAAGUUGAUGAUUAUUAAUAUUAAAAUUUAUAAUAGUUUAUAAUUAAUAAUUAAUAAAAUUAAUGUUUUAGUAAAAAGUUAAAAUAAUAGGAAAACAAAUUUCAUUGAAAUUAAAAAAAGACUACAUUACAUGCAUAAAAUAAAAAGUACGUAAUAUGCAUAAAAUGAAAUUAUAAUAUUGGCAAAUGACUAGAAAACAGUACGAUAAAUAUAAAUUUUGAUGUGAUCAAAUAGAUUAUUUUUGUUUCCUCCGAGAUAAUCAAAAUAUUGUGCGUGACUAUUCGUAUCAUUUUGGGAUCCUUGAGCUUCAUCUUCAUUCCCUUGAUUUUGAGUUGUUGAACGUGCAUUUGGAGUACUCAAAUCACAUUUUGUAAUUGUUAUCGAACCAUCACACUUUUGGAGUAAAAAUGUAGUCCAAGAUAUAGAGACUACAUGCAUUAAUGUAAUUUGUUUAUUAAUUCAAAAUAUUAAUAGUUGUUUCUCUUUUGUAUAAAAUCAACAAAAAAAUCUUAUUUUGUUUAAUAAUAUUAGCAAUUAAGUAUAUAAUUUAAACAUUAAAUUUAAGUUUAUAUAGUUUAUUAUAAAAUUUAUGUAAUAUAAUAUACAAAAUGUAAUUUGGAUCACGCUAUUGGAGUUGGUUAGAAUUUUGGAUCAGUCAGUGAUCCAAUUUUGGAUUUUUAGAUCACAACUACGGCAGAUGAUGGCCUAAGAAGAACUCAACAAAGGAAGAAACUCUGUAGGGAUGGAGCCUGGUUGCCGAUGCUUAAAAGUAGGAGAAAAGGCACCGCAUAUCAUAAAUUGUUAAAUAUCCUCAAUAUCUAAUACCAAGCCAAGACACAUAAUGAUGUAUAUGGAUUUGUGCUUUUAACGACUAAACGUUACUCCUUUUAUCUCAAAAUAAGUGACGCUUUAAUUUUUUGGUAUAAAAAAAACAUACUUUCACAAAUCAUUUUUCAAAUUUUCUUUUUCUGAAUAAAAAUAUAGAUGUUAAAGCUUUAUUCUGAAAAAGAAAUUUUGAAAAAUGAUUUGUGUAAGUAUAUUUUUUUCCCACCUCAAAUUACGUGAAAAAAAUCAAAACGACACUCAUUUUGAGACGGAGAGAGUAUAUUAUGUUAAGUUUUUUUGAGGAUUUUAGUCGUUUUUCUUGUGAGCUUGGGGAAAAAAAAGGUUAAACUCUAUAUUGUGCAAUGUCUUAAAAAAAGUUAUAAAUGUUAGACGUGUAAUGUUAUAAAGUGAUUUUGGAUCCAUAUUUUUUUUAGACCUGAUAUUUGAGGUAUUAUUGUAUAAAAUUAUGAUAAACAGGGUCAACACAUUCAAUAGUAGUCAUUUUCUACCUUAAAACUAAUUGAGGAGCUAAAGAUAAAAUAUCAAAAUACCAUGAUUUUUAUACAUCACUUUUAAAAUUAAUGAUCAAGAAUAUUACUCUAUUUAUCUUUUUGAGAAUGAGUGACCGAUUAAUUACAAUAUUUGAUGUUUAUAAUUUUUUUAUGGAUAAUUGAUAAUAUAGAUGGUAGUAUUGUGUGUUAAAUAAACGGUAACAUAUAUGUGUGGUUAGUUGUGCGGUUCUGUAUAUGAUUAAAUAUUUUGGAUAAUGAAAAAUAGAAUUUUAAGAAGGUUAUAGUUCUGAGAGUGAGUAUUGUGAUAACCUACUGUAAAAAUGCGUGUCGGUCUUUCUAAAAAUUAAAAAGUUAAUUUAUAUGGGACAUCCAUUUUGAUAAUGAAUAUAUGGGGAUACUCAUUUUAAAAAAGCAUAUGAGACUAUAAGAGUGGUAUUUUUUACCAUCUACUUAAAAAAUGAUUUUCUUCUAAAAAAACUUUAAAAUAUGAUAUCUUUGGCUUUCACGUACCCGGACUAACUAAAUAAUCUAUCAAAUUCUUAUUGAGUAAAAAAUUUACCAUUAAAAGUCGGCUUGAUUUGAAGUAUUUCCUUAGCAUUGAGGUUGUUAGAAUUGAAGCCAGAAUUUCCCAGUCAAUUGUAUACGUUUUUUUUCACUGCUUGACACGUUUUUUAAGGUUCUUAUAUAACGUAGUUCCACAACUUAUUUUUAAAAUUUUCUUUUUUUUAUAAAAAUAUAUACAAAAAAGAAAAUCUUAAAAAUAAUUUACAGACUAUACUAUUGAAGAAUUAAAAUCCAUGCCGCGUCCGUACCCAUUUAUACUAUUGAGCGGGACGGAGAGGGAGUAGCUAAUACUCACUUUGGCUGAUUGUACACCAGCUGCUUUUCCAUUAUUAAAAGGCUUGCAUCCAAGUACAAAGGAUGUUUCAAAGUUGCCUGACCCAGAAGUGUAUAGAAGAUUUAUCGAAAAAUUGCACUAUUUGAACUCAAGUAGGUUUGAUAUUUCAUAUGUUGUUCAACAACUUUUUUAAUUAGUUUCACCAAGAACCAGCUCAUCAGCCACAUUAUGAUGUUGCUCUUCAUGUCUUAAAAUAACUUGAAAAUUUCAUUGAAUGUUGGUGUGUUUUACAAAGCUAAUACUCCUCUGCAAUUAACUGCAUAUUUAGAUGCAGACUAGGGAACUUGUUCAUUUUCUGCAAAAUCCUUGUCUGGGUAUGCUAUUUUCCGGGGUUCUUCCUUAGUUUCUUGGAAAAUUAAGAAGCAAAAAAAGUAUCUAAAAGUAGUACAGAAGCUGAGUAUAUAAGUAUGAGCUAUACAACUUCUAAGUUGAUUUAUCUUAAAGGUUUUUUAAGGGAUCUUUGUGAUCAAAUUCCUUUGCCAAUUGAUCUUUAUUGUGAUAACACUUCAGCUCACCACAUUGCAAAGAAGCAAAUCUUCCAAGAAAGAACUAAACAUUUGAAGAUUAACUGUCAUUUUAUUCUAGAUUAUGUUGAUUCUGAGUUCAUUCGAAUUUCACAUAUUAGUACUUUCAUUGAGCUAGCUGAUAUACUGACAAAGCCACUGGAUGCUGCUCAUCACAAGUUUCUUAGUAUCAAGCUUGGUCUUCAAUUUGAUCCUCUUUGAUGCCUAGCUUGAAGGGGGUAUUGAUCUAUGUACAUGUAUUGUAAAUAAAUGUUCUAGACGCUUCCAGCUACAUUUUUAUUUAGAGUAGUUACAGGAAUAUUCUAUUUGAUUGUAAAUACAGCUGAUGGAGCAACAAGUCAAUUUUAACAGUUUCAUUCUGUUCAUUCUCUCUCUAACAAACUUGAAUCACACUAAUGAAAAUCAAAUAAGCUUUAUCUUAAUAUUUUCCGCUCCCUUAAUGCGCUGAAAGUGCUAUGUGACGGGAUUUCUCUUCUCCCAAAACAGUGUGCAAUUGUUGAUUGAAAAAUAUUUAACUUUUAGGCACUAGAGGAUGAUGAAGCUUUUUGCUGAUCAACACUUGAGAGGCAGUUUCUCUGUCUCGGUACCACUAAAUACAUGCUUCAGACAAGGAUUAGAAGGUUGAUUUUAUGUUUGAUUAUGUUAAAAACUCAAAUAACUGGACACCUAACUAUUAAAGGCAGAGCUAUCAGACAACUAAAAAUUUUGAUCAUCCUUGGUAUUUGUAGGGCAAGUUGUGUCUUGGUAAGCAGAGACACAUAUCCCAAACUUCUCCAACCUUGCUAUACAUUCUGUAUUUGUAGGACAUCACCAUGUGCUACUGACUUAUUAUUUCAUUUUCAGUGUUCAAAAAACCUUCUAUAUAAACAUAGGUAUUUGUAUAUAAACCUUCUAUAUAAACCUUCUAUAUAAACCUUAUUAUUUCUGUGAUCAUAUUUACUCUGAGACCGAAAUUGAUCAAGCAUCGACCUGCAGAAGAUACUUGGCAAGGUAUAACAAUAAUGCUUCAAGUUACGAUUCUGUUUGCUUUAAGUUAAAUCUGCAGCACAUGCAUUAUUUCAUUUAUGUUAUGUCAGCUUGUCUUGUUUAUUGAGCUUGACUCAAGAAAUGAUAUUAGAAAGAAAACGUUGUAGUUAUAAUUGUCAGAUUGUAUUCAUUAUUGAGCAUUAUUUAUGAAAUGGUAUCAAAAACAUUUUCAACAAUAGCCAUUUCAGCAAACAAAUCUCCUGUAUUUCCAUCGCGAAGAUGCAUAAAAAGUGGUCAAUUUAUAAACAAUUUAUAUCUCCUAGUUAUAUCCUUUGACCGGAUUAUUUAGCUUCAAAAUGCCAGCAAUUAAAUCAACAUUUGCAUCUAAUUGUGUGUAAGAAGUAUGGCUUCCUGAAGAAAUUGAAAGCAUUAGCAAUAUACUAACUUUCUUUUGGAUUUUUUUGUAGAAGAAUUAUGUUGAUUAAAUCUUUUCUGACAGUCAACUUAUUUCCAGUGGUUUCUAUUUCUUCAUGUAUUAUUUGCAUAUACAGCAAAACAAUUAGCAGCGACGUCUAUGGAUAUAAAGAAGUUGCUGGAUAUCUAGUAGGUGAAAAAUACAUUGUCACAUGAAGACCUAAUUUGUGAACCCCGCCAUAAAAUUAUUGACAACAAAACUAAAUUAUGCCUCUAUGAAAAUUGUUGGACAUCAGGCGUCCAUUUCAAGAAAAUGUCACUUUCUGUAAUCUAUUGUGGAUGAUUUGCGUAGAGAUUGAUAAGUAGGGGCAUGCUGUCUUGCAACAGACAGAGAAGUCAUUCUAUCACUCAUAAAUUUAUGUAGCAAUUGAAAGAGAAAAUCAUGUGCUAUUGUCUAAUGCCUCCUCACUACUUGAUGUACAAAUUGAUGAACUGUUCAACAUUUUCUAUAUUUCUAUAUAAAUACACAACGGGGCAUUAGUAAAAUUCAUCACAAACGCAAUCAUCUAAAGUCUUCAUUAUCAAGUUCUUUUCUUUCUCCAUAUUCUCUAAACAAUCUAGGAGUAUUAUGGGUAUUCGUAUGCCUCGUGUUACUAAUCUCAAGAAAAUCCUUAACCAGUCAUCAUUCUUGUUAAGUCCCGAUUAUACUUCAACAGUUCCAAAGGGAUGCUUGGCAGUAUAUAUUGGGGAGAAGCAAAGAAGAAGAUUUGUGGUUCCCAUUUCAUGCCUGAAUGAUCCUGCCUUCCAAGAUCUGUUAAAUCAAGCUGAUGAAGAAUUUGGGUUCAGCCAACCAGAAGGCGGCCUCACUAUUCCCUGCUCAGUGGACACAUUCAUUCACCUUACUUCACGCCUAGAUAGAUUAUAGUGAGAAAACAUUUGUGUACUGGUAGAUAGUACAGCAUUGAAAUGUACAUAGUAGAAUAGGGAUUUUUAUCAGAUUUUUGUUGGCAACGCAUAAUUUGAAACUCACCACUUUGUCCGAUCUAAAAUUACCAUAGUAGAUAGAUUAUAGCUUAUUCUUAUAAAUCUAGAUCAAUAUAUAGAACGCCUGACAGAAAAAAGAGAUCAAAAUAUAGAACGAAAAAGUUUGAUACUCAAAUCAGUAACUUUUGCAUGUGACCUAAAGCUAAUUCUCUGAAGGCAGGGACUUUUAAAUAUCUUAAACUUAUCUACCCAGAACCUAUAUAUGAUGUUCUUGAUAAAAACAGCAAAUUUCAGAUGCAAUGAUUGUUGAAUGCAGACAGGUUUACAUAUAGUCCCUAGAUACUAAAAUGAAAAAAAAAAAAGGAAUGAAACAUCCAUCCAACAAAAAACCAGCACAGUGAAAUUGGAGGGUUGAGUCUGUCAACUAUUAGAGUGAAAUUAUAUAAACUUGUUCUUCACAUCCAUCCAAAGAGAUCUCGGUAAUUCCAGGAUAGCAAUAUGUAUGAAUAAAUAGAUAUUAAUUAACUAAGCAAAAGAAAUUCUUCACUGGUAUCUAAAAAUCAUAUUUCUGUGUAAUGAGAUGGUUACUCUAAUUUUCCCUAGGUUAUCAAAUGAGGGGGAUUGACUAGUAUACAUUAUAAACUAGAACCAUGCAAAACUGUUAGUACCAGAUAAUAGCUAUUUGUUUCUUAUAUCUGUGCAAGACUAAAGUGCGGUUAAUGAAUGUCUUCUCUACAUGGAAAAGCCACUUCAGACUAUAAAGACAUGGAAUGUAUAAAGCUGCUUAUCUAUAUUUCAAAUAAUAAGUACUUAUAAAGAUAUAUAAUGACUUCAUACUGAUUGCAGAGAUCAAAUCCAUGUAGAAAUUAAUGUAAUCAAAUUACAAAGUAUCAGUUAAUGCUCUACCAAAAAGAUCUAUAUGAGAGUCAUAUAUAAAAUUUCUGGACUAGUCUACAAAAUUGUACACUAUCUAACAAAAUAUAUAUAAACUCUCAUAAUCUGUUCAAGAGAUCAAUGAAGGUGUCUUCUUUGCAUGGUAUUGUGAGGCCACGUUCUGGAUGACUGAACCCAAAUUCUUCCUCAGCUUGACUUAACAGGUCUUGGAACGUAGGCUCAUUUAAGUAAGAGAUCGGAACGACAAAUCUUCUUCUUUGGUUCUCCCCGACAUAAACUGCUAUACAUCCCUUGGGGACAUUUGUACUGCGAUCAAGAUUUUUUAAGGAAAAUUGUCUGUUGAGAAUUUGCUUGAGAUUAGUGAUAUGAGGCACACGAAUACCCAUGAUGCUCAAGAAAAAUUGAAACUUCAACGGAUAUGGAGAAACCAAGAACUUCUGCAGAUGGUAGGCUUAGACCCUUAAUUACACUUGAUUUUGAGAUGAAUUUGGUUGAGGAGAUCACAGUUUUUAUAUCGAAAUAACAAGUAAUGAGCGGUUGAUGAAAAUGUAGAUUGAGUGGAACAGAUGCA
rnacentral:lncRNA from 1 species